AUAUAAAAUUCCUCCAAAUUCUGGACUUAUCCAACAAUCACUUGACUGGUGAAAUCCCCGAGCACUUGGCCGUGGGUUGCGUCAACUUGCAGUCUCUUGCAUUAUCAAAUAACAACCUACAAGGUCAUUUGUUCUCUAGAAAUUUUAACUUGACAAACUUGCAAUGGUUACAAUUGGAGGGCAAUCGCUUCGUAGGUGAGAUCCCACAAAGUUUGUCUAAAUGCUCCCCACUAGAAGGAUUGUAUCUUAACAAUAAUAGUCUUUCGGGUAAGAUUCCACGAUGGUUGGGUAAUCUCACAUGGUUACAAUAUAUUAUAAUGCCCAAUAAUCAUCUUGAAGGCCCUAUUCCAGUGGAGUUUUGUCAGCUUGAUUCGCUUCAGAUUUUAGACAUUUCAGACAACAACAUAUCUGGAAGUCUACCAUCUUGUUUCCAUCCUCUCAAUAUCAAACAAGUUCAUCUUUCAAAAAAUAUGUUACAUGGACAGCUAAAAAGAGGUACAUUCUUUAAUUGCUCUUCCCUUGUGACAUUAGAUCUUAGCUAUAACCGCUUGAAUGGCAGCAUUCCGGAUUGGGUUGAUGGGCUUUCUCAGUUAAGUCACCUUAUCUUAGGUCACAAUAAUCUUGAAGGUGAAGUGCCAGUUCAAUUGUGCGAAUUGAACCAACUACAAUUGUUAGAUCUUUCUAAUAAUAAUCUUCACGGUCCUAUUCCUCCUUGCUUUGAUAACACCACACUUCAUGAAAGUUACAGCAAUAGUUCUAGUCUUGAUGAGCAAUUUGAAAUAUCUUUUUCCAUCGAAGGCCCUGACGGAGAUGUAGAAAAGCAAAUCCGUGAAAAUUUUGAGUUCACAACAAAGAACAUUGCGUACAUUUACCAAGGAAAAGUGCUUAACCUCCUAUCAGGACUUGAUCUUUCUUGCAACAAGCUAAUCGGUCAUAUUCCUCCUCAAAUUGGAAAUUUGACAAGGAUUCAAACAUUGAAUCUAUCGCACAACAACUUGAUAGGAUCGAUCCCAUCAACAUUUUCAAACUUGAAGUAUGUCGAAAGUUUGGAUCUUUCCAACAACAAAUUGAAUGGAAAAAUCCCUUAUCAACUAGUGGAGUUAAAGACAUUGGAGGUUUUCAGUGUGGCAUACAAUAACUUAUCAGGCGAAAUUCCAGAAUGGAAAGCACAAUUUGCAACCUUCAACGAGAGUAGCUAUGAGGGAAAUAUUUUUCUUUGUGGACUGCCAUUGCCCAUUUGCAUAUCACCAGCAACUACACCGGAGGCUUCAAUUGACAAUGAAGGAGAUGAUAAUUUAAUUGACAUGGACAGUUUCUUUAUCACAUUUACAACAUCGUACGUAAUUGUGAUAUUCGGAAUUGUUAUUGUUUUAUAUGUAAAUUCUUAUUGGCGACGUAGAUGGUUUUACUUUGUUGAAAUGUGGAUAACUUCAUGUUAUUAUUUUAUUGUAGACAAUCUUAUUGCAACAAGAUAUUGUCAUUGAAAUUAAUUAGCAGUUUAAUUACGAUUCUUUAAGUUCUAAUCAAGUUUGCUUAGAAAAUAAAUUAAUUUUUAUUUUUUAUUAAAAUUGUAGUAGUAUUUAGCGCUAUAUAGCUUCCAACUUCCAAGCACUUCACAAUUGUCUCUACACUUCCAAACCCAUAUCUAUCCACCAUAACUUAUACUUCCCUAUACUGUGCAGCAUACUUAAAUAACAGAACCAUCUCCAAUGUUAAAACCAGCCACUCUAUAACAUUCAUUUAGAAACUAUAUUUAGAAUAGUUUUAUAAUCAUACACAAGAAAUGAAACACCUAGAUGCACUUGAUCGCCUAUUUUACUUUAAAAAAUAAUGAUUAUGGUGCUAUCAUCAUCUUCUUCACUAGCGUCAUUAACACCAAAUCCAGCGAUGGACCCAGACAUUUUAUCAAGAAAGGUAUAUAUAUAAUAAAGUUGAAGCUUGACAAAAAAAUUCAGGAAGAUUGAUGCCUCGCCACAACAAGGGGCACACCAACAUCAAAGUAGAGAUGAAGCAAUAUUCUCAAAGCUAAAACUCUCAAAUCCACGCACCAGAAUUUCAUAUCUCCUCAACAAUUUAAGAACUAAAGAUAAUUAGGAUCUAACAUUAGUUUUUUAUAUAUUAGUUUCAUAAUUUACAAAUCAACGAAGAUGAGGAUUAUGCUAAUGAAUUCAAAUUAUACCAUAGAUUCUCGAGAUGUUACCAAAAAUUUCUAAAGUCAAUCCCACAUAUUUCAUAAUUUUAAGACUAGAAAAUUUCAUUAGUUAGAAGUUUAUUACCUUCAAGUGGAAGAUGAAGAACAUUAUACAAUUGAUUCAGAUUAUAUCAUACAUACUCCAAAUGCAACUAGAAAUUAACAAGUUCAUGCGCACAAAUUUCAUAACAUUAUGAUUGGAAAGUUUCACGAAGAGAAAUUCUAAAUUCAAUCUCUUGCAUCAUGGUAGUUUGAUUGAUUUGAGUUACUUUCUCAUCAAGCUACUAAUAUAACAUUCAAGUCAGGGAGAAAGUAAAUUAAAACUGGGAAGAAAUAACAGUAAAAAUUUGUUGCUAAAAAUGAUGUGUAUUUUUUUUUGAAGGCAAGUUGGAAACACAGUUGUUACUACAGAUAUUCUCCUCAACUUAGAGAUAAAUACAAAUAUUAAAAUGCAUAUGAUCGCACAUAUUACUUGGAGCUUAGUAAGAUUUCAUUAAGAGAAGCAAUCAAACCACUUAUCAAUUGUUGCAAUCGUUCUAUAAGCUAAAAUAGCAAUAUAAUACAAGAAAAAGAACAUAUAGAUACUUGGCAAGAGUUCAUUAAGAAGUCGCAUCACAUUCGGGUGAGUUUGCUUCUGAUAUCUUGCUAGCUGGGGCUUUUUCUUGUCUUUCUAUGUAUGCCGAGGGAAACCAACCAGCUUGGCCCUUGCAUUCACCUUCCGACCAUCCAGUAGGAGCCACCUUGAGAAGUUAUAACUAAAACAGUGAAUUAAACAAAAGUUGACCGUUCGAAGACCUAAGGGGAAAACUAAUUCUUUUACGUAGGAGUGAAUUAGUUGUGAUCACUGAAAUAACAGCAUAACUAUGGAAGCAUAACAAGUUAAAAAUUCACACGUCUAUAAGGGUAAACUGGGUGGUUUAGAACUGAGCUAGCAACCCUACUAUAUUCUGAUUUGCACUUCAAUGUAAAAGGGAAUAUAUGGUAGGAAGAAAGAAAACCAACCAUCAUUUGUUAACUCAUUGCUUUUCAAUCAAAAUUUUAAGAACAAAAUGCCAUGUGCUUUGAACAUCAAAUAAGUAUAAGCAUUAGUUCUAAAUUCCACAUAUCUUAAGUUAGAAGGAUAAGUUAAUAGCAUAGUAGAAAAAUCUAUGUGUUGUUAUUUAGAGGGGAAAGUACCUGGCGAACCACAACAUAAUCAUCAAUUGAAAGACUUAGCUCUCCAUUUGCUUGAGCAUCAAAUGGAUGUAUAACCUGCAAGAUAAUGGGAUAAAUAGAACUUAAUCUUUAAAAAAGCAUAACAAAAGCAGCAACAGUAGCAGCAGUGUUCAUUGUAACCACUAUGAUCAUGGCCAACAAAGAUAUAUUAGAAACAAAAUUCCAUUUUUACUACGACAUUAAUAUGUACUAUAUGAUAUCAUGACGAUUGGGUUACCAAGAGCUAUCAAAGUCCAAUAAAUUCUGUAUAACUUUAUGUAGUUAUUCAAAUUAUGGAUCAGAUUUUAAAUCUGAAAUUUUGACUGCUCUCCACAAAACAUGGCCUAUGCACAAGAAAGUCAUAGAUAAUGAGGAUUACAAGUGUCUGACAUCUUUUGAGUGAUGGAUUUAACAUGAGAGCUUAUGGUCAGUCAAUUUCCUCUGCCUAGCAAUAUAAGCUUUCUCGGCCAGAUUUAUCAUCAAAUACAUAGAUUGCCCCCAAGUCACAUCCAUAUAAACAUAGUUUUUCUAGGUAAACCAGGUAAGGAGUAUCAUAAUUCAGACAUAAUCAUAAAAAGGCCCAUCUAACUUAAGAGAAAAUCUCAAAAAGAGGGAUGUUGAGCUAUCAGUCUUGUAUCUAUAAGCAAUAUCAAGACUUUACAUCACCUGCUACGUCGUGAGUGGCUACACAACUUUCAGUGGUUUGUCUUUCUUUGGCAUGCCUAACUCAGCUUUGAUGUUGCUGAGAUAUUGAUAGUAGAGACACAUGAUACUUCUAGCUCAUGCAUUCUAUCUAGCUCAUCCGACAGCUAUCUCUUUUUUAAUUCAUUAGUGUUUGCUAAACCUCAUGCUUAAAAGUCCUGUUGUUCUAAACAAAGUUUCCUAAGAAUGACUUCCUCAGCACCACAUUUGGACACUUUUAGAGCAAUUUUAUUUGGGGGGAAAGAAUUUUCAAGGUGUUAACUAAUAAAUUUUAAAAAAUAAUUAUAAUUUGUCCUAUGAUUAUAUGACAAUUUAUCUGGGAUGAAAGGAUACAGACAGACAUCUUCCACUUUCAAGACUAAUCACUACUUCUGUAGAUGUUUUGCAAUAAUACAAAUACUUGACCAGAUGGUAGUGAUGGUAGAAAAAAAUUUUAUUGCUCCAAAAUUAAAAUAAGAAUGCAAUAUGUUCAGCAAAAGACUGUGCAACAUCAAAUUAAUUGAUAAGUUUGUAAUUCAGUAAAUUAACAACUUUCAUGGUAAAAUACAACAAAUUUCUUUUCAAAAAAAAAAAUCUUAAAAGACAGCAUACAAUUUUGUGCGCAUCUUAUUUCUUAAGAUUUUCCAGGAGGGCAAUAGAGGGACUUUCACCUAUGCAAGAGAGCAGAAGCCUUACUUUCGCUAUAAAGUAGACGUCAUUCUGAUUAAUAUGCGUUUGCAAAUCAGCUCCAUUUGAAUCAGUAUUCUGAUAGACACAUGAGGCAUUUACAUCCAUUUCCAAAGUCACAUGUUACGACUAUAUUUGAAGAUUGUUCUAUAGUUAGAAGAAAUGCCAAAUGAAUGAACUUACUUGACCUUAAUGUAAAAUGUUAUCACAUGCAUAAGUGAGACGAAAAUGAUAAAUACAAUAUUAUCAGCAGUAAACAAGAAGAGAACACUCCAAGGAAUAGAUAGAUGCGGAUGAGUAAUAUGAGGAACUCCGGUGAGUCUCACCCGAGCAACAAUGCCCAACUUCUCUAACUUAUGAUGAUAUGUUUUCUCAGCAUCUACCUGCAAAGGCCCGAGACCAGGAAAACAACAAUAAAACCACUAGCUAAAGGAGAAAGUAAAGAAAGAAAUACACUUGACAUAAAUCUUGACAAGAAGCACAAUUUAAGACAUAACAAACCCCAAUCAUAUUGUUUAGAACUACCAUUCGUUAUUUCGUUAUUGUAGCAUUUCGAACAAGUGUUGACUUAAUUCAACAUUGUUGGAAAGAUAGGCUUUUAGAAGCGGAAGAAAGCCACUCAAACCAAAGUGAUUGUCCUUGUAUUGGUCAAGGGAUGUAAACAUAUUACAUUUGCAGGAUGAGUUUUAAUCACUCCCCUGAUUUAUUUGGGUUGCAGUAAAACUAAGCGAGCAACUGUUUGACUUUCAAGCAACAUCUAAAUCAGCUAUUAAAAUUCAAAUAAAAUUAUAAUAGAAUAAUAACAGGCCAUCUUGCAUCAAAAAUUAAGUUUAGUUUGUGAAUUUUUUUCUAUAGACAUGUUAGUUCCUGCUAUUGAAAUGUUAAAAGCAUUGAAAAAUUAUUCAAUAAAUUAUGCAAACAUUAAAAUAGAGGACAUAUUAAAAAGUUUCUAAUUACAAUGUUAAGAUUUCCUAUAUUUUAGCAUUUGCAUAUUUUAAUUUAUUUAAAAGCUACGUCGAUCAACUUUGGGCGUGAAGAUUUUAGCUUCUACGAGACUUGAUUGGAAUAUGCAUAAGGAAGAGUGUUAAAAUAUGAUGCAUCCAACGAAAGACAAAUGACACUUGGACCAACAUGCAAUCAUGAAGUGGCCAGAAAAAGGACAAAUGCAACUUUGGCUUAAAUAAAAAAUAACAUGUGACUUGACUUUUGCUGGACAUGCAUCAUGUUAUUACAAGACAACAGAAAUCAGUAUGAUAGUACUAAAAGUUCACAAUAACAUGAAGAUAAGAGGCAGAAUGUCAACAAAUGCAUAGGCACACACAAGAAAGUAUUAACUUAUAUACCAUAGCAAAAAGUCUUUGAUAUGUCAUCUGUUGCUGCUGUGAUUCAACUGACAGCAUGGCAGCUGUCGCUUCUCUACCAAGAGCCAUUAUUGUAGAUUUAAGCUCGGUCAAUCUUGCUUCUGCAUUUCGAAGCUUCACAGCACUCUCUGCUGAUAUAUCAGAUUCCCUAAUCUUUGAUCGGCGCCUAAAUACUUCAGCUGCCUGGUGAAAAUAUUCAAUGUAAAUCUAACAUAAUUCUAAUCUUGCCUUAUACAUGCAUAUGUUAACUCAAAGCUUACCUGGGCUUCAACUUCAUGUCGAAGUUUGUCAUAACGAUGAGUCAAGAAAAUAUCUUAGAACUAAGUUUCCUUAUGAGAAGAUAAUAGUUUCAGUAGUAAUUUACAUAUAAUUUUCUAUAUUUGAAUUAUUUUCUAGUUAGGGAUGAACUAACCUGAUCACGAAGAAUCCCAAGCAAAGUUUCCCUCUCAUUUUCCAUCAAAUCAUGUGAAGUGCCAAAUUGAAGAGCAGCUCUUGCAACGCAAGAAUUGUCACUUUGAUUCUCCACUCCAUACUUGCAACAAUCUUCGGCCAACUUUCUCGCUACAAUAUUUGAAUACAAAAAUAUUGUACACAAGAACUAGUCAAGAAAAAAAAAAUCAAAUAUUAUAACGAGAGCAAGAGCAAACUAACAACCUAUUUCCAUUUGUUUCAAGCUUACUGCAACAAACACUUCAACGCCACGGACAACAUUCCUCUGAAAAUGCUGCGCUACAGAGCAUAUAUUCCAAAUCAUUGUUCAGAUAAAACCAUACAAACCAUCAUAAUUAUUCAACAUACAUUAAGCUCCGUUUGGUAAAUACUUGCAACUUCAGUCUAGAAAAUACAGUUAAUUUUUAUUUAAAAAACAUCAUAAUUAUCAACAUACAUAUUUGACAAAAUUAUUAUUUAAAAAUCAUAACUAAUUACCAAAAGCCACAAUAAAUCAAUAUCAAACAGAGUCUUAUUAUUAGCUAAAGGAGGAUGGUGCCUUAGCUGCCCUGGUGGAAUUGUAUAGAUUUUGAAGUUGUUGGUGACACUCAAGUUCAGCUUCAUCAACCGCAACAUUUUCAAUGCCAAGAUGGAGCAGAUGCUUCAAUACUGCCUGUACAAACCAUAAAAAACUAAUGAAAAAUAAAUAAAAUCGAGAAAUUUCACUAAUUAAAAAAGAAAAGAAACGGACUUGCUGUUGAAAACAGCAGCUGUGAAGAGUCAAAGAUUGACCUUGAAUCCAAGCUGGCAUGCCACCUAAGCUUCUGUAAUCUACAGCCAGCUGACAUGGAAGAUGAGUCAGGAUUAUUGAGCUGGCAGAACAGCUGUGCUGAAGAAUAUCAGCACAUAAGCAUGGAGCAGCUGAAGCUUCUAGAAUUCUAAAAUGAUUGGCUCAUGAUUGGCAGUCUGACAAAAUUAGUUUUUCUGUGUAAUAUUCUUUAUUAGCUGUCAUUAUUUUCUUGUCUCUAUAUAUACUACAAUUGCUCUGUAAUACGUCAGUUGGGUAAGCAAUAAUAAAAGGAAUACUCUGUCUUGUUCACUCUGCUUGCAAUACUAAGCAAUUCUUUAGAAUUUAAGUUGGUAUCAGAGCCAUCUUUUAGCUAUGGCAAGCAGCAGCGACAAUGAAACAAAUGUUAAUCCAACACAGGUUGAUUCAAGUGAUCAACCAGACGAUUUGAAUCAAAACACUGAGCCACAAAAUCCAGGCCUUAACACCAGAAACACAGCACAAAUAAGUGCAUCACCAACCCAGCAUAUCACCAGCAACACCUAUGUCUUUACUACUCCAAUCAAACUAACUCAAAGCAACUUUAUGCUCUGGAAAUCACAAGUGAUUUCUAGCAUUAGAGCAAAUGAGCUUAAGGGGUUUAUUGAUGGCAGCCAUGUCUGCCCUCCUAAGGUCUUCAUGAGUCCUGGACCAAAUCGAUCCACCAUUACCACACCUAACCCUGAAUACCAGAUUUGGAGGAAACAUGAUCAUAUCCUAUUGAGUUGGCUACUCUCCUCUCUAAGUGAAGGAGUACUAGGCACAGUGGUAGAUUGUUCCACCUCCUGUGAGGUGUGGACAACUCUAGCCAACCAAUUUGGUGCUAGAACAAGGGCAAGAGUCCUAUAUCUCAGAACUCAAAUUCAAACUACUAAAAAGGGUUCAUCAACCAUUCACGAAUACUACUCAAAAAUGAAAACUUUAUUGAACUCACUUAGAGCUGCAGGGAAUAACAUGAAUGAUGAUGAUUUCAUCAUGUGUGUGCUUGCUGGUUUGGGGACAAAAUAUUACUCAGUAGUUACCAACAUCAACUCAAUGCAGGAGAGUCCCUCGAUCUCGGAAGUAUAUGGUAUGCUCUUGAGUCAAGAAAACAGAACUGAGCAAAACUUGAGCUCAGGGAACAUUGAAGCAAACUAUGCUCAAAUGAGGAAUGGAAGAAGGAGCUGGAACAACAGUGAAAGAACUACACAUCAGCAGCUGCCUGGAAUUGUUUUCAGAAAUCCUGGAAACAACCCCACGAAUAACCAAACCAAUCAGAAUCCUCAAGACAAAGGAAAAGGAAAAGCAGUGGCUGAUGACAGUGGUUCUGACCCAAAAGGGCCUUGUCAAAUCUACUGGAAAAUGGGACACACAGCAGCUGAGUGUUGGCACAGAUUCAAGAAGAACUUUGUACCUCAGCCAAACAGAAGAAGAGAGCAGAGAGGUGCUUAUGUUGCUGCAGCUGAAGGUCAAAGUAGUGGAGCUUGGUACCUUGACAGUGGUGCUACAAAUCAUGUGACUAACUCUCUUGGAAAUCUCAGCAUCAACUCUGAAUACCAAGGUAAAAACAAGCUAGCUGUUGGUAAUGGUGAAAAGCUUUUGAUUAGUCACAUUGGUUAUUCUGCUUUGCCCACAUAUGAUCCACACAAGCACAUCACCUUAACUGCUAUACUAUGUGUGCCUGACAUAACCAAAAACCUUAUUAGCAUUUCUAAAUUGCUGCAUGACAAUGAUGUUGAUGUUGAGUUUCAAAAAUCUGUUUGUUUUAUUAAGGACAAGAGACAAGGGAAAAUUCUGGUGAAAGGAGUGGCUAGAGAUGGGCUAUAUGAGCUGAUGCACUUACCUGCCAUCCUGAGCAGGAACAAAAAUCCACAUGCUGUUUUGUCUUCUAUUCUGUCAAAUUCAGAGUCAAUGAAUAAUAAUAGUUGUCCAGUGUCCAUGUUGUCUUUCAAUUCAAGUAAUGAGUCCGUCAAAGUUAGUGUCGAGCCAAAUAUAGCUGAUGAGUCAAGAAGCAACAAUCUGCAAGCUGCUGAAGAAACUGAUGUGUGGCAUUCCAGACUAGGACACCCUAGUACUUCAGUCCUGAAAAACACCUUGUUAUCUUGUAAUCAGCUCAAAAUUAAUAAAGAUAUUGUUCCUUCAUUUUGCUCAGCAUGCCAAUAUGGAAAGCAAUCAAAACAAUCUUUCAAAAGCACUGAAACCAAAACUAAGACAGCCCUUGAACUGAUUCACACAGACCUUUGGGGACCAGCACCAAUUCUAUCCACUCAUGGACACAGAUAUUACAUCUCCUUUGUUGAUGACAGAACAAGAUACACAUGGCUCUUCCCUUUAGCAACCAAGUCUCAAGCUCUUGAAACCUUCAUUACCUUUAAAAAUCAGAUCGAAAAAUAAUUGAACCUAACAAUCAAAGCACUACAAACAGACAUGGGAGGAGAGUUCAGAGCCUUUGAACCAUAUUUGAAAAGAGAGGGAAUAACUCUAAGGCAUUCAUGUCCAUACUUACAUGAACAAAAUGGCAAGGUUGAGAGAAAACAUAGACACAUUGUGGAGACUGGACUUGCCUUACUUGCCCAAGCCAAAAUGCCCUUAAAAUUUUGGCAAGAAGCUUUCAGCUAUGCUAUCUUCAUUAUCAACAGACUUACCUCACCUGUGCUAAAGAACAAGACACCAUUUGAGUUAUUGUAUUCUUUCAAACCAGAUUAUACACAAAUUAAAAUCUUUGGCUGUGAGUGUUUUCCAUUUCUUAGACCAUACAACAGACACAAAUUUGAUUUUCACACUUCCAAAUGCAUCUUAUUGGGGAUCAGCAGUGCUCACAAAGGUUAUGUUUGUAUGAACAGUUCAGGAAGAGUUUAUAUCUCAGCUAGUGUCAAAUUCAAUGAAAAAUCCUUUCCUUUCGAAAAUGAUUCUAGCUUUAGGAAACAAGAGUCAGUAAAGGAAGGUGAUGAAAUUGCCUUACUUGAAAAAUUCCAGGUUGUGUCAUUCUCUGUCAACAAUCCCCAUGGUCUCACACAAGUGGCAACAUCUCAUAGCAACUCUCCAGACACUACUGGAAACACAGAAUGCAUCCUAAGUCCAGUCCAGAAUGAAAUGCAACAGGUAAAUGAUACUGACACAAUAUCAGGUAGCCUUUCAACUCACAGUCCACCUCACAUUACAGAAAUAAACAGCCAAAACCUUCCCACACAAAAGGCCUUGCCUUCACACCCCAUGGUAACAAGAUCCAAGGCUGGGAUCUUCAAACCAAAGCUGUACCAGGUUUCCAGUAAACCACAACCUUCUCUUCCCAAAAACACAUUUGAGGCUUUGAAGGAUCCCAAGUGGAGAAAGGCAAUGAAGGAUGAGUAUCAUGCAUUGAUGAAAAACAAAACCUGGACCUUGAUACCAAACAACCAAAAUUGCAAAUUGAUUGGAAAUAAGUGGAUCUACAAAGUAAAGGAAAACUCAGAUGGCAGCAUCAACAAGUACAAGGCCAGAUUAGUAGCAAAUGGAUUCUUACAAACUCCAGGACUUGAUUUCAAUGAAACUUUCAGCCCUGUUAUUAAGGCUGCAACUAUUAGAAUCAUCCUAACCAUGGCAGUAAGCAAUGACUGGUUGCUUAGGCAAGUGGACAUAAACAAUGCCUUCUUGAAUGGUGACCUGACAGAGGCAGUAUACAUGCCACAACCUGAGGGUUUUGAAGACAAGAAUAGACCAAGCUACAUUUGCAAACUGGAAAAGGCUUUGUAUAGAUUGAGGCAAGCUCCGAGAGCAUGGUUCGACAAACUAAAAGGUGCCUUGAGUUCUUGGGGAUUCAAAAAUUCCAGGAGUGACACAUCUUUGUUUUUCAGAAGAAUUGAAUCAAAGAUAGUCAUCAUGCUCAUAUAUGUAGAUGACAUUAUAAUCACUGGAAGUGACAGUCAAGGCAUUGAGGAAGUCAUUAAAGAUCUGAACACAUCCUUUGCUCUGAAGGAUCUCGGAAAUUUGAAUUUCUUCCUUGGGAUACAAGUUCUAAGGAAUCAAAACUCUAUCCUACUCUCUCAAGCAAAAUAUAUUCAAGACUUGUUGGCCAAAACAGAAAUGACAGACUGUAAAGGAAUAGAGACACCCUUCAGCUCUUCUGAGAAAUUGGAAAAGGAUGCUGGGAAUAGAUUCCACGAUCCCAUACUCUAUAGAAGCAUCAUAGGAAGCCUGCAAUAUGCAGUAUUGACCAGGCCAGAGCUUGCUUUCUCAGUUAACAAGCUCAGUGAGUUCAUGUCUGAUCCUAGACAGCCACAUUGGGUAGCAUGCAAAAGAGUGCUGAGAUAUCUCAAAAACACAAUGAAUAUGUGUUUAAGUUUCAAAAAAUCUGAACAUCUGGAUCUCAUUGCCUAUACGGAUGCAGAUUGGGCAACUGAUCCAGAUGACAGAAGAUCCAUAAGUGGAUACUGUGUGUACUUGGGAGAUAAUCUGGUUGCUUGGAGCUCGAGAAAACAAGGCAUAGUAGCAAGGUCAACAGCUGAAUCAGAAUAUAGAGCAAUGGUUCUAUGCAGCACUGAAAUCACAUGGAUUAAUUCUCUACUUGGUGAGUUGAAGAUGGAUGUUGAAAAUAUACCAAUUAUCCUAAGUGACAGCACCAGUGCAGCAGCCAUAGCAGCAAACCCAGUCUAUCACUCCAAAACAAAACAUUUCGAGAUAGACCUUUAUUUUCUCAGAGACAAAGUUACAAAGGGAGAAUUGGAAAUAAACUAUAUUGGCAGCAAUGAUCAAAUUGCGGAUGUGCUGACCAAGCCAUUACCACAUCACAAGUUUAGCUGUUUUAGAAGCAAACUCAAAGUCAUUGACAAGACCUUGAGUUUGAGAGAGGGUGUUGAAAACAGCAGCUGUGAAGAGUCAAAGAUUGACCUUGAAUCCAAGCUGGCAUGCCACCUAAGCUUCUGUAAUCUACAGCCAGCUGACAUGGAAGAUGAGUCAGGAUUAUUGAGCUGGCAGAACAGCUGUGCUGAAGAAUAUCAGCACAUAAGCAUGGAGCAGCUGAAGCUUCUAGAAUUCUAAAAUGAUUGGCUCAUGAUUGGCAGUCUGACAAAAUUAGUUUUUCUGUGUAAUAUUCUUUAUUAGCUGUCAUUAUUUUCUUGUCUCUAUAUCUACUACAAUUGCUCUGUAAUACGUCAGUUGGGUAAGCAAUAAUAAAAGGAAUACUCUGUCUUGUUCACUCUGCUUGCAAUACUAAGCAAUUCUUUAGAAUUUAAGUCUUGCUGCUGCUUGGCGACUUGUUCUCGGAGCUUGAUUGCCUGUUUCUUGAUAGUUUCCAUACUGUUUCUUUCAAAAAGCGACGACGGCUCAGCUCAUGGAGGUGGAAAAAAAAAAGUGUGAUCGAGAAAAAUAAAAAGGCAUGAAUAAUUUUUGAAAAAAAAAACGAAAAUCAAGGAAAGCCAGCUCUUUCCAGAAAAUAAAAAAAGAAAAAAAAAAUUAUAAGUUUGAAAGGAGAAGAUGAUAGUGGAAGUGUGCAGUGUGGCUGCCAGCUACUUGGAUUGUAGAGAAUUUUUUUUUUGUGGACAGAGCAUGACAUUAGACUUUUGUGGACCAAAUUCAAAAGCCGAAUGGCACGGCCCAGAAGCUUUUGAAUACAAUAACUUGCUAGAAAGCUCCAUUUUUUAUUCUUCUUAUACUUUACGCUUGCAUCAGCCUCAAUCACUUCUUAAUCGCUUGCUUUAACUGCAUCGCUCUCUCUGUGCUCUUCUAUAUAUGUAACAGUUAUGCGGUUGUAGUUCACGACUGAGGCUACGUGUUGGUUUGACGUGGCAGUUACGUUACAAGGGGAUAAAUAAGAUUGGUUGCAACAAACCCACUAAUUUUAUAAAAUUCGAGUAAUAUAGAAUAAAAUAAAAAAUAAAUAUAAAAUUGGCUUUUAUUUUUUAUGGUUGACUGUAUUUUGUGUUCUCUUCCGGCACUACUACAAUUGUUACCUAUAUAUCAGUCACACCCAUAUAUCAUUAACACAAGAAAUGAAAUCUAAUGUCACCUAUUUAGUUAAAGAAUCACUCAUGAAAAAUUUUUACCUUUUUCAUUUGAGGAUCCAUAUUUUGAACUGCAAGUUAAUGUUCAUCAAGAAUCACUAAUGUUCAUAAAAAUCCGAGUAUGGCCGUUGAGUAGAAAAAUUAUUUUUGGACAAAUUAUUUUUGUUGAUAGAAGAAUUUCUUAAGGGACUACUAAAAUUAUUAAUAAAAAUGUAGAACACACCCACAUAUCAUCAACACAAUUGACUUUGAGGAUCCAUGCUUUGAACUGCCGCCUAAUGUUCAUCAAGAACAGAGUAUGACUUGUGAGUAGAAAAUUUUAUGAUUUUGGCCCGAAAUAAAAAGAAAUUAAAUUAGAUGAGAAUCUGCCACUUUCUCAUGAAGAAAGGCAUACGGAGCAUACCAUGGUACCAUACAAUACAAAGAGUCUCCGUUCUCUGGUUUUUCAAACUAUAAAGGGGCCAAUAUUCCCGAAUUCUCCCUUGAAAAUUCUGAUUACGACAUUAUUCAUCGCUUGACGCAAUCAAAGUAGCGACAAAGUUAAGAAAAAUAUGAGUCCUAAGCAAUUGCUAGGUAGGGUUCCUGAGAGUAAAAUUGUCCUAAGCAUUAUAUGCAUACAUGGUGUGGUACAUAGAGCACGUUGAAUUCCACACUAUAACACAAACCUAGAAAGACAAGUAAUAACUCAACUGAUAUAAAGACAAAAAGAAGAUAAAAUGAUAUAGAAAAAAGAAUUUCAAAGAGACAGCAACAUACGAUAGACUGAAGCCACUUGAUCUGCUCAUUGAUUGCAGCCUUAAACUUACAAAUAAUUACCGUACGCUAGUGCUCUAAGAAGUGAAAAUGAUGCAAGCCCUGAUUCCCUUUUGACUUCCAUUUACUGUCAAACAUUCUAGUAAUACAAAAAAUUGUUUAAAUAUCUUGCUAUAAAUAUAGCCGUUUGACUGUCAUAAUAAAGUCACAAAUAACCAUUCAUAUUGAAAUAUCUUGCUAUAAAUAUAACCAUUCCUUAUCAAUACAUUUGGCAAAAACUUAAGAAGAAAACUAUUUCUCCAUCUCUUUUUUGAAAUUUCACAAUAAACCAGCACAUUAUGAAAGCUAUGUUCUAAUCUUAUGAUAAAUGCUCUAGACUCCAAAAGGACUUUAUAUAUGAGAGUUUGUUGCAGCAGAUAUAUUGACUUAUCAAGUAUGAAUCAUUGUCUGGAUGAACUAUCUUUAAAUAAAAGAACAUUAGAACCACUGUAGAAUAUCUUUACGCUGCUGGUUCUAACAGGAAUCUGCAUGUGGCAACAAUUGCUAGAUCCACAAUUCCCCAACUUGAAAUACAUAGUUGCACACCAUGAGAUAGUGCUACAAUCUACUGAGAUCUAACUUAUAUGAUACUUUAUGCUACUAAUGUUUGCAUAUUUUUACAUGUUAAAUUAACACUAUAAUCUAUAAUCACUCCAAAAUGACAAAUGAUAAGCAGCUUUUGGCUAGUUAUUACUAGCAUCCACAAUUAUAAAUAAGAGAUCAUGGGUUUACUUGUUGCACCUACUUAAUGAUCUGCAGUUGAGACCCUGACGCAAGGUUUAAAUAGUGACUGCUUAGAACCCUUGUAGUUGGAUCUUGACCUCUCCCAUUUUAGCCAAGAUUGGCUACUCUGGUAAUGAAUCAACACUGUCCUGCUCAGGGCCAUGAAGAUCUGGAAGCUCAGCACUAGUGGAGAACUUCACCAAUCUCUUCUUCUCAGCAUACUUGAGACAAGGCUGCAUUACGAGACCAAUCACCACAGCACCAACGAUUAAAACUGCAACUUUUAAAGUAGAAAGAGCCAACACAACACAAAUCAAUAUGGUUGGAGGAAUACAUAUGAUAAUGGCUCCAACAGUGCCAGUGGGUAUCUUGUAAGGACGAGAUAAAUAGUAGAGAAGUUUUUAAGAAGCUAGAACAGAGCAUGUUAGACUUUUGUUGACCAAAUUCAAAAGCCAAAUGGCACAGCCCAGAAGUUUUUGAAUAGAAUAACUUACUAGAAAGCUCCAUUUUUUGUUGGCUACAGUAAAAGGAUGUUGUUUUGUUCUUCUUAUACUUUACGCCUGCAUCAGCGUAAAUCACUUCUUAAACGAUUGCUUUAACUGCACCGCUUCGAGUCUGUUAAACAUUCGGUGAUAAGAUUAGUUACAACAAACCUACUAGUUUUAUAAAAUUCAAGUGAGAUGGAAUAAAAUAAAAAAUAAAUAUAAAAUUGGCUUUUAUUUUUUAUGGUUGACUGUAUUUUGUGUUCUCUUCGGGCACUACUACAAUUGUUCCCUAUAUAUCAGUUACACUCACGUAUCAUCGACACGAAAAAUGAAAUCUAAUAUCACCUGUUUAGUUAAAGAAUCACUCAUGAAAAAAAAUUACCAUUUUGAUUUGAAGAUCCAUAUUUUGAACUACCAAUUAAUGUUCAUCAAGAACAGAGUAUGGCCGUUAAGUAGAAAAACUAUUUUUGGACAAAUUAUUAAAUUCCAAUAUUGUAUCGAUAUGCAAACGAUGCCUGAAGCAUAGCCUCCAAACAAUGACCAGGGCACAAAACAAGAGUGUAGUAAUCAAGUGUAUUGUCUCAUAAUCAAUUAAAAGCAGAUAUACAGGAUACCAUAUUCAAUUCCAAAAUAACAAAAGCAUAAUGAGGAUGAGAAGAACAAUGCAAGAUUUGUUGUUGUUUUAGUUGCUUCUAAUAUUUUUUAUGACGCACAUCUAUUGAAUUAAGAGAUUUCUAUAAUCAGUGCCGCAGUACUGAAAAUAAACUACUUGUCAGUCAAAUAGCUGAGUAUUUCUAUGAGAAUGUCAUUAUUAAUGACCGACUUUUUCCAGAUUCUUGGACAAACAUAAGAGACUAUUGUGCUUAGUUAAAAUGAUCACUCAAAUAUGAUUUCUUCACUUUGGUUGUCAAUUAUCUAUUCAAAUUAAUCAGUGUCAUUAUCGACUUAUUUAUUUAGAAGAGCGGGUGAUAAAUAUAUUUAAUAAUGUGAACAAGAAGUUCGUUAACUUUUAUGAUCAUUUGGAAGGUCGGCGUGUCAUCACUCGUCAAACACAUUGCAUCGAUCCACCAGCAUGAACCGACAGGAUUAUGAUUGAACACAAGAUGCACAACUUAUGAUUGAACCCAGAAACAAUCAAAUCUUUAGCAAGAACAAUUAAUCAGAGUCAAGAAACAAGUUUAAUGAAUAUAAACCUAUAAUUGAAAAUUUGAAACAAACAUAGCCAAGAAAAAAAUACAGAUUUUACACGGUUCAGUUGUACCUAGGAUGGCACAACCUACACCACGAGAGAAGCUUUCUGGUGAGAUUUUAUUGAUGAUCAAAGAAGAAUCUUUUGCCAAAGCUAAUAAUAGAGAUUUCAGAGAAUAAGCUAUUACCCUCUCUCCCUCUUCAAUCUCUCUCUAUUUUGUUCCCAUUGAUGACCCCAAUCUGCUUAGUUAUCCAGCUUUAUAGCUGCAUCAGUAACAAACCAGCAAACCCAGAUUGAGCAGAUUGACGACACGUGGAUAACGGCUUUAACGAACCUGGUUAAGAACUGCUCACAUGUUCGUCACGCGUGCUGCUUAAAUGAUGGCCAAAACGACUUCAAACAAAUGUCGUUUUGAGGCUUAUGAAUUACAAGUGAUAACACGAGCUUGUCUCAUGACUUUUAAAUGCAACAACGUGCCCACAACGCCGUCGUUUUACUCUGUUGAGUUUGAUUCAUUACUAAGCUUUACGACUGGCAAUGGAGAAGAUGAUAAUUUAAUUGACACGGACAGUUUUUAUAUCACUUUUACAACAUCCUAUGCAAUUGUAAUAUUGGGAAUUAUUGAUGUUUUAUUCUGUGAAUCCUCAUUAGCAAAAACUAGUGGUUUUAUCUUUGUUGAAAUAUAGAUGACCUCUCGUUACUGUUUUAUUAUAAACAUAUAGUUUCGUAAGUGAAACUAUAUGUUUAUAAUAAAAUUAACAUAUAGUUUCGUUACAUUUCUGCCUCAUUAAGAUUCUCAAAUACCAGUCAGGUUUGCUUAAGAAAUAAAAUUUUUCCAUUAAAAUUGCAGUAGUAUUUCCAAGCAUAUCGCAUUUUCUAUGAUUUUUCAUAAAUUAAUUAAUCUGCGGUGCCAAUAUCAGAUUUAGUUUUUCAAACUAAAUAAUCAAGAAAGCAAACAUACAAAUAUACAGUUUAGAGGGGUAAACUAGGUAGGUGGCUUAGAUUUUAGAACUAAGCCAGCUACCUCACUAAAUUCCGAUUCGUACAGUGAACUGCAAGAAAUUGAGAAAACAAUGUAUUUAUAAUUUAAUAGAAUCAUAAGAAAACAAUGUAGUCAUUGCUCAAUAUAAGAUGAUGAUUUCGGAGAGGCACAUUGUUUUCAAGUUAAUUUGAACCGUUUAUAAGAGAUGAAGUGGAAUGAAGUUGAAAGUUUAAAUAACAAAUCCUUGUUCUUGAGUUUUACGACGUCGUUACUCCUUCAAGUGGCAGAUUAUGCAAGUGAAUGCAGAAACACAAUGCAUCAUCCGCGGGGAUGAUACUUCAAAAGGCGGGAUUUGUUUAUGCCUGCAGAUUAGCAAUUUCACUCAUAUAGAAAAUUAUUUUUUUAUAUAUACUAAUCAACACUAAAUUGAUUAUGUGUUGUAUGUUUAUAUGCUAAUCAACACGAAAUUAUUUUGAAUUAUUAACAUUAAUAUUCCUAAUAAAAAUUAUUUUCCAUCAGUAUUCAAAAUUUUCACUUAUAGAAAAUGCAUUUUACGUGAAUACUAGCUAUGUAUUUGGUGUAUUGUUAUACUAUGUAAGACUCAGCUAAAAUCAAACCGUCCCUUAACCUGUUUCUCAUAAGCAUGGCAGAAUUUAAUAAUUUUAUUUGUCAAAAGAAUAAGAUAUUGGCUUCAGGAAAUUUAAAACAACUUUUAUUUACUCUAUCAAUUAAUUAAUGUUAUUUUGUUUUGAAAAAUUCAAUAAUUAAAUUCUCACGUUUCAUAUGUUUGAAGUUAAAUUAUUCAUUAACUUGAACUCUGUUCAAAAUUGGCCAUCUUGUGGUUCCCAAAUGUAGUUAUAAUAUUGAAUGAAAGUAAAAACUUUCUAUGCGAGUUUAAAUCUAAAUCUGAACAAUUUUGACUUUCUCAAUGCUAUCCUAAUUAUAAAAAAUAUAUUAUUUCAUUUAUUGUUAUAGUUACUAGUCUUUGAAAAUGGAUGGAUUUAUUGUUUCCGUGACCAAAUUAUGCCUGCCUAAGGCUGCAACUAUUAAUAAAUCUAAUAUUUAAUGCACAUGUUAAAAGAUUUAAAAUUUUAUGCAUUUAUUAAUUGUUAUACUCGAAAAGAUUAAUUAGUUCAGGUCAAUCUGAGUUGGUGCAUCUGCAGGAGCCUUUUUUUCCCCCUCGUUGACCAUAAUAAUAAUAAUAAUGGAUAAAAAUGACAUCUCUUUCAACACGACUAGGAGCGUGUAAAAACAUGGAAACAGAAUUUCCACAAAAUGCCAAAUGUGUGGAGCUUAAUUUUUGGGCUGUAGACCAAUACAAAUGAAAGAAAAAAGGAAAAGAAGCCCAAAGACUUCUGUAGAACGUGAUCUAUCUUCUAAUAAUAAUAAUAAUGGGUUUUCAAAAUUAAAAAAAAAAAAAAAAAAACAAAGACGCCUCUUAUUAAACACGGAUACUCUUAGUUCUAUCCACUUCUCAUCUCACAAUCUCUCUCAAUUAUCCUUUAUUGAUAGCUCAAAGCGAGUUGCUGUGGAAAACUGUAGCAAAAUGAAAAAUUGGAAAGAAAGGGAUGAAAAUCAAUGCAUGAAAGACUUGGAGAAAACAACCAAAUAAGUCAACUCCUCUUUAAUGAGAGCAUAUUACAAAAAGGCCUCGAUCAUCAUAUCGUAGACUCGGGGAUAAGGAUUGGAUCGAGUUUUUGUUUUGAUAUUGAAGGACCUGUGUUCCUGUCGCGAUGUAGAAUAUGUGCAAGGAGUUGUCUACUGCUCUUUAGGUCAUAAUAAUGCGAUUGUCGUUGCCCUGAAACAGUGGAAAAUACUUCCAUAUCCUCCGGAUGACAACUGAUUUAUAUCUGAUUUCCUAAUUGACUCAGGAUCAGCUGACAACAACAACUUAUUAAUAGUUAUAUCAAAACGGCAGAAGACGUACAUUGUUUAUAGGUUUGAUCCAUUUGGAAUGAAGUGGUCUCAAGUCGAAAGUAAUUUGUUAUUACAACUAGGAUGUACUAGAACUUAGAUCAAAACUUUAAUUUACUGUAAAAAGAAUAUGCUUAGCAAUUCAAGACCAUGUGGUUACCAAAAGCUAUGAGUCAUAUAACAGUUGAUAAAUUAGUUAAUUAAUAAUUGCCGGUCAAUCUUGUCACAUCUCUGCACGUGGCAGAAUCUUGUUCAUUCGCUUGUCACUUCAGAUUCUGUUGAAGACAUAGUUUGAAACGUUGGGAUGUAGGUGUACGCCGUAUGAUUAUUAUUACAUGCCGGCAAAGAAUUCUAUUUUUAUUAUUAACUAAUUAAUCAACUGGAAAUUAAGCUGUAUGUGAAAAAACAUUAACUUGUGGACUCAGCUGCUUACUUAUCUAACACGCUGACUGUGCAUGCAUAACGGCAUUGGGGUUUCCGAAGAAUUUAUAUUUCAGACACAAAAAAAAUCUUACUUAUAUGAAUCCUUUCAACAAACUGAGACAGAUCAUAUUUUACACCCACAGAUUUCAUAAUUUUGUCAUUGGAGUGUUUGCCUAACGACGACUUGAGAAAUUCUGAAUUCAGCCUCCUCCACCAAGGGAUUUCGAUUGAUGUUAAUUUUACUAUUGGAGUUAAUUUGUGAUCAACCUUUCAAAUCUUGUGCCAUUUAAGGAAUAUGAUAAUUGAUCACUAGAAAGAAACCUAUCAAGCUAUAUUUUAUGAUGUUAAUUAACAUGUAAUUAAGCAUUUGUUAUUAUAGAACUGGUUCAUAGCAUGAAAGUGAAAUAAAUUUAACUAAAUGAUUGAUUAAUCAAUUCAUUUUCAUGAGCUUUAACAGAGUUAAAACCAAGCACAAACAUCGUUAUCAAAUACUGAAAUUGGCUAAAUUAAAAAAAAAAAUUCUAAUUCAUGUAAUAUGUACUUCUCACAUCUAAAGCAUUACCUCACAAGGUUUAAUGAGAAACGAAAGACGAGUCUUUGCUUUGAACAAUUAAAGUUGCUGCUACCAACCUCGGCAAAGAUCAAGAAGACAGAACAGGAAGCUAAUGCCAUCAAUGUCUUCUUCAUUAUAGCUGCUGCGUAGUUAGGUGUAGUUUCCUCAUUUGAAGCUGUCUAUGCACAGGCUUUUCCCCAGGUAGUGUACAAAUAAAUGAACAGCCUUGAAGCUUUAUUAUUCUUAAAGCUUUAGUGUUCGCAGCAAAAAGGAAUACUAAUUGGAGAAGACUUUACAGAGUUUCACUCACACUCUCUCUCUCUCAAUUUCAUCAAAAAGUCCCUCCGAAAGUAUCUCCCAAAAUAGUUAGAGCAUCUCCAAAAGACUCUAUAAAUUUUACUCUUCAAAUAUUUAUUUGCUUACCUAUGUGGCAAAUAGAAGAGUAAAAAAAUAUAUUAUUCUCCAAAAGACUCUUCAAAUAUAAAUGAGUUAAUAUUAUUUUAAUUAAAUAACUAUUUUUUUAAUGGAAAAGUCAAUAGUAAUUAAAACACCUCUCUCUCUUUCUCCAAUAAAAAGUAAUAAAAUAUAAAUUGAAGAGGGAGAAAGCAACUCUCCAAAUUUGAAGAGAGAAAAUCACUUCUUAUUUGAAAAAUCUUAAUUGGAGUAUCUUUUGGAACUUUAAAUAUUGAUGCGACUCUUCAAAUAAGUAAUAAAAUUUUAUUUGAAAAGUCUUUUGGUAAUGCUCUUAGUCUUCUUUUAUACUCUGUUUUUUGGAAACGGAGUCCUAAGUAACUUAACUGACUGUACUGAGUAUGUCAACAUAACAUAUUUAACCGUUUUAACAGUAAUUUGAACCGUCUUCAGAGUUAUCAUCAACAAGCUCAUUCAUAUUGUCUCUACACUUCGUAUUUGUCUCUACACUUAGAAAGCUAAGCAACAUGUUUUGUAUAUAGCUUUCCUAUGUUGUGCAACAUACUAAAACGAGAGCACCAUCUCCAGUGUUAAAAGUAGCCACUUUAUAACAUUCAUUUAGAAAAUAUGUUUAGAAUAGUUUUAUAAUCAUGCAUAAGAAGCCCAGAUGCACUUGCUAGCCUAUUUUGUUGGAAAAAUUUUCAAAAUAAAUGGUGUCUUGUUGUAAAGACAUGUCUAAACAAAUGGUGUCUUAUUGUAAAGAGAUGUCCAAUUAAUGGUACCUUAUAGAAAAUGUAUAUUUUCACUUGAGGAUAUAAUUUUUCAUGGUGACAUUCCACUUGAAAUGCAUCAUUUUAUGGUGACAUUUCAUUUGAAAUGAUGAUGGUUCAAUUUGAACAAUUGAUUAAAAUUAAAUUCUGAUCCAAAGGCCAUGAAUAAAGGGGUAUCAUAAAAAAUGACAACCCAAAUGGAAGGGCACAAGUAUGUCUAUAAAGAAAGGUCAUGUUUAAGCCAUUUAGACAUGCAAAUAAUGAUCCUACACCACUCUUUUCUUAACCCUCUUUCCAAAAAUGAAUUUCAUCAUAUAACACAUACUUUUUGUACUUUAAAAAUCCAAUAUAUUGUUUUCUGCAGGAACAAUAUAUUGUUUCUUAGCAGGCUUGCAACAUUCAAGAGUAUUCUGAUUUACUUUCGUCGAUGCACAAUGCAAGCAAACAAAUAACUACUUCAUUGUAUCCUGGAGGCAUAUUUGCUUAACCCAUGUGCAUCACUUAAUUGGUGGGGGCAAAUAACGUCUUAAGGAAAGCGACAUUUGUAACGUGCCUUGAAGAACACAUUAAUUUUCUACAGUUUACCUAUAACUAUUAUUUUCUUUCGACAUACAGAGUUGUAAACACAUUACUUUACACAAUAAAAUUCUACAAUUAUUACUGUGAUUCUCAAUAUUUUCCAUUCCCCACCAACAUAUAUUACUCUGAACAAGAACAAUUAUGGCGUUAUCAUCAUCUUCUUCACUUGCAACAUUAACACCAAAUUCAAGAUAGACUCAGACAUUUCAUCAAGAAAGGCAUACGUCCAAUAAAGUUGAAGCUUGAUAAAAAAUUCAGUGGAAGGUCAAUGCCUCGCCACAACAAAGGACCUAACAAUAUCAUUCUAGCAAAGAUGAAGCAAUAUUCCUAAAGCUAAAGCUCUCAAAUUCACCACACCAGAAUUUAAUAUCUCAUCAAUUUUAAAAACUAAAGAUAAUUAGGAUUUAACAUUAGGUUGUUAUAUAUUAGUUUCAUAAUUUACAAGUCAACAAAGAUAUAGAUUAUGCAAUUGAAUUCAAAUCAUGCUGGAUGUUACUAAAAAUUUACAAGUCAAUCCCAUAUAUUUCAUAAUUUUAUGACUGGAAAGUUUCAUUGGUUUAAAUUUUUAUUACCUUCAAGUGGAAGAUGAAGAUGAACAUUAUGCAAGUGAUUCAGAUUAUAUCAUACACUCUCCAAAUGCAACUAGAAAUUAACAAGUUGAUGCCCAUAGAUUUCAUAACUUUAUGAUUGGAAAGUUUCAAAAAGUUUGAAACUUGAGAAAUUCUGAAUUUAACCUCCACGAAGCUAUUUUGAUUGAUUUGACUCACUUUGUGAUCAAACUAAAAAUACAACAUGCAAUUCAAGGUAGGAGUAAACUAAAACUAGGAAGAAAUAGUGGUAAAAAUUUGUUGUUAAAUUGAAAGCACAACAAAGAUAAGAACCUAUAAAAAGUACACGCAUAUAAAGUAUCCAUAAAAUUACUACAUUCUACAAAGGAUUAUAAAUUAUUCUCUCACUUGUACUCCCUCUAAAUUCCAUGAGGAAUCUGUUUAUCUUAUAGAAAUUGGUUUAGUCAGCAACAAGCACUAUAAUUCUUGAAAUAAAUUUUUUUAAUGCAAUUUUCAAUCAUUUUCCAAAAUACAAUUAAAUUGGAGCCAAGAUUAGGUUUAGCUUUCACACAAAAUAACCAAGCAAACAUAAAAAAACUCACAAUUUAGAGGGGUAAACUGAGUGGUCUAGAAUUGAGCUAGCAGCCUUACUAUAUCCUGAUUUGGACUUCAAUGUAAUAAGGAAUAUGACAGGGUUAGGAAAAGAGAAAAUCAACCAUCAUUGCAGUUGUUAUUUGUUGACUCAUUACUUUUCAAUCAAAACUUUAAGAACAAAAUGCCAUGAGCUUUGAAUAUCAAAUAAGUAUAAAUAUUAGUUCUAAAUUCCACAUAUAAAGUUGUUAGAAAGAUAAAUUAAUUGCGGAGUCGAAAAAUCUAUAUGCUGUUGUUUGAACUAGCAAAGGAGAAAGUACCUGGCGAACCACAACAUAAUCAUCAACUGAUAGACUUAACUCCCCAUCUGCUUGAGCAUCAAAUGGAUAUAUAACCUACAAGAUAAUAGGAUAAAUAAAACUUAAUAUUAAAAAAAAUUAAUAAAAGCAGAGCAAUAGUAGCAGCAUCUAUUAACAACUAUGAUCAUGACAAAUAAGGAUAUACUAGAAACAAAAUUCUAUUUCUACUAGGAAAAGAAUACCUUCUAGAUGAUAUCCAGGACUACUGGACUACCAACAGUUAUUAGACUCCCAUAUAUGAGUUUUGUAUGACUUAAUGUAGUUGUUUAAAUUAUAGAUGGGAACAUAAUUCUCAAAAUUUGACUGUUUUCCACAAAGCAUAGCCUAUGUAACAAGAAGGCCAUAGAUGUUAACAUAUAUGUUUCCAUAAUGUUGAUUUUGAUGAUAACAAACAAGAUUAAGAAUUAUUGAUCUUUCAAGCUCAAAUUAUUUAAUAUUCUUUUUAAAUAAAUCAUUAUUUUCACAUUAUAAAUGUUUUAUAUUUAAUAAUGAUUUUAUGAAAUUGAUUGUUUUUAUUCUUUUUAAAUAAAUCAUUAUUUUCACAUUAUAAAUGUUUCAUAUUUAAUGGAAAAAUGAUUUUAUGAAAUUGGUUGUUUUUCAAAGUUUAUAGUUUAAUUGAAAGAAUUUUGAAAACUUUGAAAUAAACAAGUAUUGCUUGAAAUUUCGGAUUUGGACCUAUUUGAAACUAUUUAAAUAUUCUUGGGCCAUUCUAUAAUUUCACAAAGUUUGGGUGAAGUCAUAAUUUCAGAAAGUUGUGGGAUUGACAAAGCAUUAUUCUAAAAUUCUGAAAUUGGACUUUUUUGUAAACUUUCAUAACAUUUUGGGCCACACUAUAGUUUUAUAAAGUUUUGGGGUCAAACUAUAAUUUUGGAAAAUAGUUUACUGUAGCAGUCACUGUAGCAAGCGGAAAUCCGAAUUCUGACAAAUGGAAGUCCGGAUUUUAGGCAGAAUCUAUCCGAAUUAAAAGCGGAAAUCCAGAUCCUGACAAACGAAAAUCCAGUUGUUGGGCAGUAAGCUACUGAGCGUAAGUGGAAAUUCAGAUGUGACAAAGCGGAAGUCCGGAUGUUCAGAAAUUCAAAUUUGUGGCUGUAACGGUAACAUUAAGCAAAAUUCCGGAUAUCCAUAACCGGUAAUCCGGUUACGACCAAAAUGUGCAUAACGGCUAGUUUUUUAGCUCAAACUAUAUAAACUCAAAACCAAUUCAUUUUUGGUUAAUCCAAGCAAGCAAGAACAAGUGCACACAACAUAUAUUGAGCUUCAAAUUCGUAACUCAUCAUUCAUUCAAUUAUCUUUGUUCUUCAAUUUGUAUAUCCAUUCUUAAAGAGAGUUUCAUUGUUGUGAUUUUCAUUUCUCAUCAAUUUGUGAGUGCACAAGUGUGGGAAACACUUAGGGUGAAGAGAUUGGGGAUAUAAUCUCUUGUUGUAAAGGUUCAUUGACACCUUAGAAGUCAAUUGUAAACAUUUGAAGCCUUGGGAGGCUUGGAUAGUGAAAUCCUCAAGCCGGGUGAGCUUGGAGGCGUGGACGUAGGCGGGGAUAGCCGAACCACGUAAAAAUCCUUGUGUUCGUUUUCUCUUCCCUUACUCUUUUAAUAUUGUGCUUGAUUGAAUUUAUUGUUUUCGAAUUUAUUAAGGCAUUAGAUUAAAUUGUUGUGUGGUUUGCCUAGGAUAAUUUUUAAAACUCCAAUUCACCCCCCCUCUUGGGUUGCACACUUAUAUUUCAUUUGGUAUUAGAGCGAGGUGCUCUUGUGUAGACUUAACCGUCUAGAGUUAAAGAUUCAUGGCAACCCAUAAUGACUCAAUCUUUAGGGAAGGACAAUUCACAAUUAGACCACCGUUCUUUGACGGUAAUGACUACCCAUAUUAGAAAACUAGGAUGAGAAUUUAUUUACAAGCACUAGAUUAUGAAAUUUGGGAAGUUGUUUGUGAUGGUCCUUUUAUGCCUUUAACUAAAAAUGAAGUCGAGGAAGAUAUUCCAAAACCUUCACGGGAAUGGAAUGAAUUGGAAAAGAGAAAAGCUACUCUAAAUUCCAAAGCUAUGAAUGCCUUGUUUUGUGCACUAGAUAAGAAAGAAUUUCAUAGAGUAUCUAGUCGUGAGAGUGCUAAUGAAAUUUGGCAUAAACUUGAAGUUGUUUAUGAAGGCACAAAUCAAGUGAAAGAGUCUAAAAUUAGUAGGUACACUCGGCAAUAUGAAUUGUUCCAAAUGGAACAAAAUGAGAGAGUGUAUUCUAUGUAUACUAGAUUUACGGACAUAGUGAACACUCUAGGAGCCCUAGGAAAGACUUUUUCAAAUAGCGAGAAGGUUAAGAAAAUUAUUAGAUCACUACCUAAUGAAUGGAGACCAAAAAGGAUUGCCAUUGAGGAAGCCAAGGAUUUAAAUAUCUUACCUAUUGAUGAUUUAAUUGGUUCUCUUAUUUCUUAUGAGGAAGACUUGGCAGCCGAAAGAGGCAAUGAGGAGAAGAAGAAAAACAUUGCUCUCAAAACCUCGAAACAGGAGAGUGAUGAGGAAAGCGAGCUGGAUGAGGAGGAGAUGGAUAUGCUGGCUAGGAGGUUCAGAAAACUUUUUAAGAAAUCCGAUGAGCGAAGAAAACUUAGAGACCUCAAGAACCGAAAGGAAAAGAAGGAAUUAAUCAAAUGUUAUGAGUGCAAGAAGCUUGGCCAUAUAAAAAUGGAAUGUCCUCUUCUCAACAAGCUCAAGAAGAAAGCAAUGGUAGCCACAUGGGAUGAUAGCGAUGAGGAAACAAGUGAUGAUGAAGAGCAUCAAGAAAUGAAAAAUCUAGCUCUCAUGGCAAUUGGAGAUGAAUCGGAUGAUGAACUUGAUGAGGUAAAUGAUCUUUUUACUUAUGAUGAAUUAUAUGAUGCUUUUAAAGAAUUGCAUGAUAAUUGGAUAAAAAUUGGUAAAAAGAAUGCAUGUCUUAAAAAGAAAAUGGUAGAGCUCAAAAAUGAAAAUGAAUCUCUAUGUGCAAAGAUUACAUGCCUAGAAUUAGAGAAUAAAACAUUGCAUGAUAGAGUUGUAUUAUCAAAUGAGAAAUCUAGCACUUCACAUGAGCAUGAAAAAUCACAUGUUGAUGAAUUGAUGAAAGAAAAUGAAGUGCUUAAGAAAAAGAGUAAUGAACUCAAUGAAAUUGUAUUAAAAUUCACAAAUGGUCAAAAGAACUUAGAAAAAUUACUAAGCACUCAAAAAUGUGUGUUUGAUAAAGGAGGACUUGGGUAUAAGCCUUACUUGAAACAAAAAUAUUAUAAGAAUUAUUUUGUUAAGGCUACCUCCACAAGUGAUCAUAAAAUUGUUUGUCAUUAUUGCAAUCAAAAUGGUCAUAUGAAGAAUAGAUGUCCUAUUAAAAGAAAUGUGUAUUAUGGAGUCAAAUGUAUUUGGGUUCCGAAAGGAACUAAAUCUAACACUCAAGGACCCAAGAGUAUUUGGGUACCAAGGGAUACAACUUGAAUUUGUUUUGUAGGUACCACAAACAAGGAAUGGUGGAGAGUUCCUUGAUGAAGCUUGUGAGGAUAAUCAUUUGAGCAUGAUCUAGGAGAAAAAGAUGAGGCAAGAUGAUUUAAUUGUUUUGGUAACAAUUCUUGUCAUAUUAAUUUUGUUGAAUGAAUCAUGAUAAAUGGAAUUUGCGAAAGUAUACUUGUAUGUUUACAUGAUAGAAUUAUCAUUGUGUAUAAUAUUCAGUGAUUUAUCAUGAUGCCUUUGUUUGAUUUUGAUGAUUGUAUGGUCUUUGAUUUCAUCUUCUAAAAUGUCUAUCAUCAUUGUCCAUCUCUUAUAUAUGUGUGAAAUCAUAUGCCAUUAAUUGUGUUAUAUCAUCAUUCUUUUAUAAAAUUGACAUCAUUGUUUGAUAUGACGUCAUAUGUUUGGUCUUGUAUGCAUAUAUGUUUCAUGCAUUAAAUGGCUUAUUGAAAAGUUUUAAAUCUCAAAAUGAUUUAAAAUUAAUCAAUCUUUAAAGCCAAAAAUAAAAUGGUGUGUGUAAUACUAGUAUAAGAGCUUGCCAAAAAUCAAUUAGAGCCAAAUAGAUUUCCAAUGACUAAACCGGUUUAUCACUUUCUCUAAUCCGGAAAAUGCUCUCUUAUUGAUUACUCUCGGGUCAACAUUCGGAUAACCGGAUUUGCAAUCCGGAAGACCGGAUUUGCUAAGCCUCCUCUAUGCCUCAAAACCGGAUAACCAGUGCUUAAAAUCCGGAAAACCGAAUUCAAGAGGCAACUUUUUGCCUCAAACCGGACUACCGGUUAUCAAAACCGGAAAGCCGGUUUCGCGUCGAACCUUGCUGGAGAAAACCGGAUUUCCGGUUCAUCUCAUCCGGCAAGCCGGUUUCGGGUUUCAAGCUUCUGGUCACAACCGGAAUUCCGGUUAGUGCAAACCGGAAAUCCGGUUUCGGAAGCUAUUUCAACUGUUCUUCUUCCAUCUUCAAACAGAAAUCCGGUUCUCUCACUCUCUCUAAAAACCGUUUGCUUCUCUCUCUUUCUCACUUGAUUUCAUUCCAAAAUCCAUCAUUCUCAUUUGUUUUUCAAUCCAAAUUGAUUCAUAUAAAUUAUUCCCCAUCCAUUCUUGUGUCUAAAAUCUUUUUAAUUGAUUAAAACUUACUCAAUUUUACUCAAUAUCUUAAAAAAAUUCGAAUUUAUGCAUUUUGAGUAUUUCAAAUUACCACUUCCAUAGUGUGCUUUCCUUAUGGAUUUUACCGUAGUUUUCUAUUAUAUUAUGUACUUACAUUUUCAUAUGCAUUGUUGCUUUCAUUGUGGAUUGAUGAUGAUUAUUGUUUGAUAUUUGGAUGUUUUAUAUUUGGAUAAUGUGGAACUAAUGUGCUUAUCUUGACUUUUUGAUGAUCAAGAGGGAGAUAUGAGAUGUAAGGGAGAAAUACAUCUACUUUGAGAAUCUUAAGCAUAUGAGAUUUUUUUUAAGUUAUAUUAAAAUGUCACAUUAAGAUCUUUGAUGAGCUUAGUUGUCUUGAUUUCUAAAAUGUGAUUAGUAAUUAUAUGACUUUUGAAUUGUUGACAUUAUGCUCUUAUGACUUUUGCAUUCCCUUGCUUAGCUUAUUACUUGUUCUAUUUUGGAUAAUAUGCUUUUUGAACAUUUUUUAUUGUCCAAAGGGGGAGACAAAGUAAUAAAUCAUUUUAAUGAUAUAAAUUGGGGGAAAUAAUAUGCAUUUUGAGCAUUCUUUUAAUAGUUGAUAAAUGAUUAUGGAAUCCUCGGAUUUAAUUGUUACAAGUGUUUGAGGAAUUCAUAUUGAUUUUGAUGAUUAAUGAUUAUAUGUGCAUUGCUUGAUGAAUGGAUGGAGUUAUUGAUUUGUUAUAAUUGUUUAAGCUUAUAUGGAAGUAUUUUUAACCAUGUUGUGUAUUUGAGGAUUUGUUCAUUUUUAAGGGGAGACUUUACCGAAAUUUUUGCUCAUACAAAAUUGGUAAUAUCUUUAUCAACUUAUUUUUUAUGCUCUUGUUUCGAUUGCAUCUAUCUAUUUUUUAUGAAAGGGGAGAUAAAUAUGAUAUGUUUUUGGAUAAAAUCGUUUUGGUUAAAAUUUUUAAUUGGCCAUAUAUUUAGGGGGAGCAUAUAAUAUGAUUUUGGAUAAUAUGCAUUUUGAAUUUUUUUAUUGUCCAAAAGGGGAGACAAAAUAAUAUAUCAUUUCGAUGUUGUCAAAAGGGGGAGAAUAACAUGCACUUUGAAUAUUCUUUUGAUGAUUAAUAUGUGCUUAUGGUGAUGAUUUUAAGAUAUGAUGAUGAUUUGAUUACAUUGUUUUAUAUGAUAUUUUGGAAGUGAUAUCACUAAUCUUGUAUUUGAGGUGAUGCUUGUUGUUAGGGGGAGAUUCUUUCAAAAUUUCCACUUGGACAACAUGGGUAACAAAUUUGCUAUUUUUAUUCUUUUCCUUUAAGUUUUCUUUUUUUAUGAUGAAGGGGGAAAAGAAUACAUGCUUUUAAAUUUAUAAAAAUUUACUACUCUUUUUCUUUGCCAAUUAAGUUUUCUUUUUGAUGAUGAGGGGGAGAAAAAUCCAUGUAUUUAAAUCAUUAAUUUAGCUAAUUGGCAAAUUGUAAAAGAAUAUUAUAUUUAGGGAAGCAAUUUGUGGAAUCAUUCUUUAAAUACAUGAAAUGUUUGUCAUCAUCAAAAAGGGGGAGAUUGUUAACAUAUAUGUUUCCAUAAUGUUGAUUUUGAUGAUAACAAACAAGAUUAAGAAUUAUUGAUCUUUCAAGCUCAAAUUAUUUAAUAUUUUUUUAAAUAAAUCAUUAUUUUCACAUUAUAAAUGUUUUAUAUUUAAUAAUGAUUUUACGAAAUUGAUUGUUUUUAUUCUUUUUAAAUAAAUCAUUAUUUUCACAUCAUAAAUGUUUCAUAUUUAAUGGAAAAAUGAUUUUAUGAAAUUGGUUGUUUUUCAAAGUUUAUAGUUUAAUUGAAAGAAUUUUGAAAACUUUGAAAUAAACAAGUAUUACUUGAAAUUUCGGAUUUGGACCUAUUUGAAAUUAUUUAAAUAUUUUUGGGCCAUUCUGUAAUUUCAUAAAGUUUGGGCAAAGUCAUAAUUUCAGAAAGUUGUGGGAUUGACAAAGCAUUAUUCUAAAAUUCUGAAAUUGGACCUUUUUGUAAACUUUCAUAACGCUUUGGGCCACACUAUAGUUUUAUAAAGUUUUGGGGUCAAACUAUAAUUUUAGAAAAUAGUUUACUGUAGCAGUCACUGUAGCAAGCGGAAAUCCGGAUUCUGACAAACGGAAGUCCGGAUUUUAGGCAGAAUCUAUCCGAAUUAAAAGCGGAAAUCCGGAUCCUGACAAACGGAAAUCUGGUUGUUGGCAGUAAGCUACUGAGCGUAAGCGGAAAUUCGGAUGUGACAAAGCGGAAGUCCGGAUGUUCAGAAAUUCAAAUUUGUGGCUGUAACGGUAACAUUAAGCGGAAUUCCAGAUGUCCAUAACCGGUAAUCCGGUUAUGACCAAAAUGUGCAUAACGGCUAGUUUUUUAGCUCAAACUUUCAUUGUUGUGAUUUUCGUUUCUCAUCAAUUUGUGAGUGUACAAGUGUGGGAAACACUUAGGGUGAAGAGAUUGGGGAUAUAAUCUCUUGUUGUAAAGGUUCAUUGACACCUUAGAAGUCAAUUGUAAACAUUUGAAGCCUUGGGAGGCUUGGAUAGUGAAAUCCUCAAGCCGGGUGAGCUUGGAGGCGUGGACAUAGGCGGGGAUAGCCGAACCACGUAAAAAUCCUUGUGUUCGUUUUCUCUUCCCUUACUCUUUUAAUAUUGUGCUUGAUUGAAUUUAUUGUUUUCGAAUUUAUUAAGGCAUUAGAUUAAAUUGUUGUGUGGUUUGCCUAGGAUAAUUUUUAAAACUCCAAUUCACCCCCCCUCUUGGGUUGCACACUUAUAUUUCAAUAGAUAAUUAGGGUUACAAGUGUCCGUCAUCUUUCGAGUAAUGGAUUUAAUAUGACAGCUUAUGGUCAGUCAAGUUCCCCUACCUAACAAGAUAAGCUUUCUGGGCUAGAUUUCUCAUAAAAUGCAUUGAUUGCCCCGAGGUCACAUCACUCGUAUCUAUAUGAACAUAGUUAUUUUAGGUAAACAAAGCAAAGAGAAUCAUAAUUCAACCACAAUCAUAAAAAAAGGCCAAACCAACUUAAGAGAAAAUCUUAAGAGGGAUCAUAUGUUGAGCUAUUAGCCUCAUAUCUAUAAGCAAUAUCAAGACUUUAGAUCACCUUCGAGGGAUGGCAAAUAUCCAAUUACGUGUCCAAGGCCUUUUGUUCUUUUUGGCAUCUGUUGUUUUGGCACAAAUAUUUUUGGCUCUUAAAAAGAAACAGUUUGAGAAAGUUCAAUUGUCCGAAAUGAAUUUCUAGAUCCGCGGAUUUAUCGACAUCAAGUUUGUAAAAAGAAUCCAAUUUUUCUUGGCAAUUAUAAUUAUAUUAUGUAGGAGCACAAAACUUACGAAAAGCCUUUUGAUUAUUUCAAUUCUGUUUCUACCGGAUGUCGGGAAUUUCUUGUACUGCAUUCCUAAAGCACAGUAUAUAUAUUGUGAAGAAGACUAUUGAACUUUCCCCCUUCUUUGUUUUUUCAAUACAAACUGGAGAAUGUCACUAUUACCAUAUUUAAAUAUCAUAGAAUGUGUCAAUAGUUUUCGAUUCUAUUAGACUAGAAUCAAAUUCGGCCUAUUUCCAAUUCUUUUUGCCUGAGAGCUUGUUUGUGCGAGCUCAUGUCCGUAUUUCCGUACUUUCAUCUCAUUCCCUUCCUCUAUAUGCUCUUCUCUUUCCUUUCCUUUCUAAGCGGGGGUUGGAAGCGACUCUCGUACAUUCGCUUUCCUCUGGCAGCACGAUGCCAAUUCCACCUCAGAGCCAGAAAAGAGUGGUGGUUCCUUACCGUUACAGAAGAAAUGAAUUGCGCGGGGACGAAGGCCCUUAGGCCAGAGUCCAUGGGGAGAUCCAUGGAUAUUUUAUUUUUAUUAUAUAAAAAUAAUAAUAUAAAAUAGUUAAAAUUUCAAUAUUAAAUUUGGUUAUUAAACUAUUUAUAUUAGUAAUAAUAUAUAUAUAUAUAUAUAUAUAUAUAUAUAAAAUAAAAUGGCGGUCCGGUGGUCGGUGGCGGCGGUCCAGCAACUUUCCGGUGAAUUCCGGCGGAGCUCCGGCGACCUUCCGGCGAUGUCUGCGGUGGUCCGGCGAUCUUUCGGCGAGGUCCGGGGAUGUCCGGCGGUGGUCCGGCGAGGUCCGUCGUUAAUUCCGGCGGAGUCUGACUGUGGCCCGGCGAGGUCCGGCGGUAAUUUCGGCAAUGUCCGAUGGUGGUCCAGCGAUGUCCGGUGGUGGUCUGGCGACUUUCCGCUGGAUGUCCAUUUAUAAUAUUAAAUUAAUAAAAUAAAAUAAUAAUUAUUAAUAGUAUUAAAUAAGUUAAAAAAUUAAAGGAUAAUUUUGAAAACUUUAGUUUUUAAUAUAAGAGGAAUUUAAAAUUUCACUAGUUAAUAUAAUAUUUUUACAAUUGUUUGUUUAUUAUAUUUUUAUUUUUAAUUUUAUUAAAUUAAAAUUUUUUAAACUUGUGUUGGGUUAAACGGAUAUCCAUUGGAUAAAAAUAAUUAACCAUAUCCAUCCAUAUCCAUCUGGAUAUAAUUUUAAAAUAUCCAUUUCAAAAUCCAAAAAUUUUUGGAUAGAUAUUAUCCGAUCCAAUUGGAUGGAUAUUGUAGAUAUCUAUUAUGGAGCGAUCCAGUUGUCAUCCCUACCUACGACAUCAUAAGUGGCAACACAACUUUGGAGUGGUCAGACAAUCGAGUUAGGAUGCAUAGUCCCAAACUUCAGCAUACAACUUCUCUAAAAUAGCAAUUGUUAACAUAUAUGUAUGCAUAAUGUUGAUUUUGAUGAUAACAAAUAAGAUUAAGAAUGAUUAAGUUUUAAAAACUCAAAUUAUUUUUCAUACAUUUUAAAUAAAUCAUUAUUUUCAUAAUAUAAAGGUUUUAUACUUAAUGGAAAAAUAAUUUUAUGAAAUUGGUUAUUUUCAAUUAAUGGCCUUCAACAAAAGCUUUCCAAGUUACUGUUUGUCCUUCUUCCUAGUAUGCCCUACACAACCACUGCCACCACUGAUUGGCUUCUCCCUCGAGGUGAAAGGAUGCUAACACCACUCGUUGAUCUUCGGUUGUUUCCUAGUAAUCAAAAACUUGGGUUACACGAUUAAACCACUCAGUGGGAUCAUCACCUGAGUAACGUGGGAAUUCAAUCCUAGCCAAUCUUGAUGGGAACUGUUGUCGUUCCCUGCCACUCUCUUCUCUUCUAGGCCGUGAUGUUGUGCGCGGAAUGCGGAAUCAAGCGCACCAAAUAAUUAUAGAAAAAUAAAGGAAACAAGAAUUACGUGGUUCGGUAAUUAAACCUACAUCCACGGAGGCGAGAAAGAAUAAUUGUUUAUUUAACAAUUAACAGAGUACAAUAUUUGAGUAACGAAUCUUACUUGCUAGAAACCCAAAUAUACCCAGUACUCUCACACUCUGCAGGAAAGAUAAAUUCUUCAGACACACUUCUCUCACUUCUCUCAAAAGCUUAUAAACUUAUAAGCUUAACAAUUUUGGGAUGAUUCCAAAUGAAUGAAAUCCUUAGCUAUUUAUAGGAGAAAUGAAUUACUAUGCUAAGAAUAAAAUAAUAAAAAAUAUAAUUUUUAAUUAUUAUUUUUCAAUUAUUAUUAUUUUUCAACAAAUUGUUGGUGCACCAACAAUUUGUUGACUUCAACACGUGAUGAUGCUGCAUGCUCAUGAUGACUCGAUACUCCCUUAGAUGCACUAAUUGAGCCGGCCAAUUUGCUGAUCACUCUUCCAAGUGAUGCAAUUUAUUGUUAAUGCCCAUCUCCAUCCGCUGCAUGCUAUCUUGCAUACUUCCGAGCUCUACUUCGACACGUUCAAUUCGCUCCUUGUUGGUUGUCAUUGUUGAUCCUAUGCUCUGAUACCAAUGAUAAGUCCCGAUCAUAAACGUACAACAAUGGCUAAGUUUACGUUGUUCUACUUAUGGUGAGAACUACCAAGAAUAGUAAUUUGAGAUAAUUCUAUGGAUAAUCCUCUUAUUAAUUGCAGGAGCUUAUUUAUAGUAGUUAAUAAAACACUACAAAUUAUUUGUAGCCACAAUUCCCGGCUAAAAUCAAUUCAAAUAAGUAAUAUUAAAUAACAAACUAGAACCAACGAGGCAUUGGAUCAAUUGGCAACUGGUCCCCCUUAAGUGGCUCGAAUGGGUGUGAUUCUCAGUUCGUGUCGCAGAGAAGUAAUCUUUGUUAGGAGGACUCGUGCCUCCCGGUCCGAAUCCGGAUUACUCGGGACCUAAUGCGGUCUACCGAUACCGAGUGACUUCAAUAAAAAUAAAUAACAAACUAGAAACAGAAAUAGAAUCCCACUUGAUUUGAUUCUCCACUCGAUCCGCAACGUGGCUUGACGUGGUAAUUUCCUUGCCUUGCUCCAACAAACAACUACUCUUUAAUCCAUACGUAGAUAAGUCUUGCAUGAUUUUGCAUGCAACAUGCAUGACCACAUGCAUGGCUGCAUGAGAUUGAUAAAUGUUCAAACAAAGCCCUCAUAUCUGUAGUUAGGCUUAUGAACCCUUGCUGACCUCCUUGGCUCUCUAUCAAUAAACCAUCGAAGCAAUUUGCAUGCUUAUAUACUAUGAAUUCAGUGGUGGAGGCGGUGCUGUGGUGGUGCUGGUGAUCGUUCUGCUGGCGGGGGAAAAAUCAACCAGCUAUGACGAUUAUUUAUCUUCGGUGAAGAUGGUUCUAUAUUCCGUACUCUAAGGGACCUAUGUGACGCCAUCUUCAAAUUAUGAAAAUUAAUAACUUGUGAAGAUAUUUCAAUCAAAGACGACUUGGAAACAAUUUCAGUGGCUUUGGUCAUAUAAGCAUCAUGUGAAAGAAGCAGCCCAUGAAUCUAGAAGAAAAUGAGAAAAUAUGAAUUGGCAUUCAUUUUCAAGCAAUGAUGUUAUGACCUCUUUAAGCCAUGCUCUUAAUAUACAUGUCAGUGAAAUAUGUAAUUGGUUUAUUUAUCAAGAGAAGUCAUGACUAUUAUAUUUGAAUAGAAGAAUUUAUGAUUUCCCGUUAACAUUAUUAUUGAAGUGGGGUGGCUCAAAUGUCAAUUGCUUGAAGAAUUUAGUUAUUAUUAGUAGUAUUGAAGUGGGGUGGGUAACGGUUCACUCAAUUCGUGGGGGAAUCAUAUAUUACCAUCCAAGGUACAAUUGUGGAAAAUUAAAGCAAAAUGAGAAAUAUGGAAAAAAAAAUGGAAGAAAGUUAAGGCAUGAAAGACCUACAGUUGAAAUUGAUAAUCAUGUUUCUAUUUUGUUAACUAAUCAAAUGGAAAACUGAACCGUAAACAAACAUUAAAACGUGUGGACUCCGCUAGCUGCCCUACAAGUCUACAAUAAUAAUUGAGUACCUUUGAUUCAUCCUUCUAUGAUUUUCUAGCUCUAUUGACUCCAUAGACUCAACAUUAUUUAACGACACUCUGACCUUUUUUUUUUUAAAUAGCGCCACAAUAUAAUAGUCUGAUUUUAGAAUUUCAGUGUAAUCAUAGUCUGAUUUUAAGAAAAUUAUAACUUAUUUUAAAUAGCGCCACAAUAUAAUUCUAAAUAUUUAAAAGGAAAACAUUAUCCACCUGGAACGACUUCAAGUCCAAAGUAAAAGACAAGAGUGGCUCCCCGCAAAUUUCUUGUUUUCAGUAUAUUUUCUCUUUUUCUUUUUUAAAAUCUUUUGACGCAUGCAUAAUCUACCCUUGUUUUUUAUCUCUACUUUGCUCUGCUCAAGUCCCUUUUUUUCAAAUAUUAUUUUAAAUAAUAAAUUGAAUAAAAGUACAUUUGUGUAAUUAAUUAGUAUCUUGUAAUUAAUUAGUAUCUGAGGGGGCAUAUUUGGUGUAAUACUAUGUACAAACAUCGUUAACAAAUACUGAAAUUGGGUAAAUUGAAAAAAAAAAAAUCUAAUUCAAGUAAUAUGUAGUUUUUACAUGUUGAUCAGCAGGAUACAACAUUAAAUUUUGUCAUUGACAAUAUUGCAUGCCUGUCAUCUAAAGCAUUACCUCACAAGGUUUUAUGAGAAACGAAAGACUAGUGUCACAAGGUUUUACUAUUCGCAACAAAAAGGGGUUACUAAUUGGAGAAGACUUUACAGAGUUCCUCUCACACUUUCUCUCACUCAAUUUCAUCUAGAAGUCCCUCCGAAAGCAUCACCCAAAACAGUUAGUCAUCUUUUAUACUCUGUUUUCUGGAAACAGAGUCCUAACUAACUUAACUGACUGUACAGAGCACGUCAACAUAGCAUAUUUAACCAUUUUAACGGUAAUUUGAACCGUCUUCAGAGUUAUCAUCAACAAGCUCAUUCAUAUUUGUCCAAUCUUACGGACGAUAUCAUAUGCUUAACUCGACACAAUCUGGAUUCAACCUCCUCCUAUCCAACAAGGGAUUUCGAUUUGAGUUACUUUGUGCUCAAGCAAAUUCACAUCAGAGUUUUGAUUCUUUAGAUAUGAAUUCAUCACAUUAUAUAUGUCGGGUUAAGUGUAACAAAAUUUUUAAUUCAGUGCGAAAAGAAUAUGCGCUAAAAAAUGAUUUCAAGACUAUUUGAUUACCAAAAGCUGCUGUCAGAGUGCACCGAAAGUUUCUGUAGGAUGCUUUGCGGUUGUCUAUUAUGUUAUGAUGGGCAUAUAAUCCUCAAAUUUUGACUCCUCUCAGCGAAGAAUAUGUCAAAGUUUAGAUUAUGUGUUCGAGCUUUAAUAAAUGCCUGAGUUAAUAAUAAUAACAACAAUAAUAGUAAACUAAAUAACAGAAUUACUAUUGAAUGGUUGGAAAAAGAAUUGAAAACGUGUGAACUCCAAUAACCACCCCACAAAUUCAGUGCGAAUUUUGGAGAGGCAAGGCCGAGCUUCUCUGAAAAAAAAUUAUUUAGUUACAAAAUUACCUUUAUUGAAACCUAUAUAAAAAUUUUUAUAUUAAUUAGUUAUUUNNNNNNNNNNNNNNNNNNNNNNNNNNNNNNNNNNNNNNNNNNNNNNNNNNNNNNNNNNNNNNNNNNNNNNNNNNNNNNNNNNNNNNNNNNNNNNNNNNNNAGGGGAAAAAAAAAAUUCAGCUCACUCAAAAACAAAAAAAUGGUAUUAACUUCGCCACCGCACAAAUCUAGAAUAAUAAUAAUUCCUUAUCAUGCUGGGGAUCCUGUAAUUUCUCGCCGUAUUGACAGCACCAGGUAAAGCUUUGUAAAAUAAUAAGUUACUCAUUAGUGGUUUUUAGUCUUUUUAAUUCUUUUUACCGCACACCUGAUCAAGAAUUUUAUUUUGUUAACUAAUCAAUUGCAAAGCAUAUAUAAGUGUUGAACGGUACACAAGAUUGGAAAAAAAAAUCUUAAAAAACGUGCGGAUUCGGGUGGCCACACCAGAAAUCUAUUACAAUAAUUAGCUUUGAUGCUGGGAAUCUUUUAAUUUCUGGCCGUAUUGAAGUUUUUAAAAUAACAAGUUCCCCUUCUCGUUUUUUUUUUUUUAAAUAUAUAUGGUUAUAACAAUUUUAGAAUAAUGACUCAUUUGUAGAAGAAUUUAUGAUUUCCCAUUAAUAUUAAUAUUGAAGUGGGGACUGGGGUGGGUCAAAUCUCAAUUGCUUGAAGAAUUUUUUUAUUAUUAUUAAUAUUGUUAAUAUUGAAGUGGGGUGGGUAACGGACCAGCGUUUCACUCAAUUCGUGGCGAAUUAAAUAUUACCAUCCAAGGUAGAACUGUGGAAAAUUAAAGCAAAAUGACAAAUAUGGAAAGGAAGGCUGAAAGUAAGGCAUGACGAAAGGCUUUGAGAAGGCUGAAGACUACCAAAGAAGUCAACUGAAAACUAGCUGGGGCCUGAGUGUAUAAAUUGUAAAAUGUGUUUGUUAUAAAUAACAUAGAGCCCUUUUGUUAUUUAUAGUUAUAGAGAAAGAGAGAACGUGUGUUUUUUAUUAGUUAGAGAUAUAGCUAGAAUGGGUGGUUCAAAAUCCAAAAUGGUGACAAUGUUAGUUCUCAUAUUAAUAAUAUUAGGAGGGGGGGUGGAGUGAGGGAUGUUUGGAGCAUGAGGAAUUUGCUCAUUUUCGGCUUAAACAUUUCUUCAAUUCCCCUUAUAGACUUCAAAACUGGGUAGAUGAACAAAGGGAAAGGGUUUAGUGCAGCAACUCCACAGGCCGAGUGGUACAACUACACCUUAGUCUUACUAGAAAUAUCGAUCUGGGAGUGUGGUAUCUGAAUGCUUCUCUCUUUACUCCCUUUCAACAACUUGGUAACAAAAUAGUCGGCUGCAUGCGUUGAGAAUGAAGGUCCUUCAUUUAAUUUAAUUUACUUAAUUUCUCCCUCCUAAUUAAUGUAUAUAACCAUUAGGAGGAACAAGGGAUUUCAUUAACUCAAAUUUACCUCAUGGAGCUCAUUCUUUGGUUUUACUUGCAGGUCUAGAAGCAAUUGUCAUCUAACAGCUGCUUUGAUAAUUUCCCACCCCUUCAUCUUUGAUGGAAAGAUGAAAUAAAAACAAAAUGGUGAAAAUGGUAUUGGUACCUGAGGCUAUGUAAUCUAAUUCAACAACUGCACCAUCAAAACGAUUACAUAAGUCCCAGAAGAAUCAAACAUUAGUUUGCAAAAUAUCAAUUGCUGGAGGUUUGAUUCUAACUUCUGCUCUUCAUUUUUAUGGGCAUAUUGUGUUGUACUUGCAUCCAAAAAUCAUAUUUUAGUUUACUUACACUCAACGCUUGGAUUAAAGUUUUAGGGGGGGGGGGGAUUGAAGAAGACUAAAAUGACACAAAAAAAGAGUUGAGCGAGUGCGGGUUUUGUCUUCAUUUAAGGAGCUCUUUGUAAAUUUUAGGAUUUUUUUCCUAAGAAAAUUUAUGCCAACUCAUUCUUUGCUUCUUUUCAGAACGGACAGAUGCAACCGAAAGUAUAUUCUUGAAUUCUCUAGGAUGAGAGACAUACGUUUAGAUUCUCGAGCCUUUGAAACAAUAUCAAAUUUUAGAUUGUUGAAAUUUUAUAUAUCUGAGUAUGAUGGUGUUCCAAUUAUAAGCUCCAGGGUGCAACUUCACUAAGGUUUAGAAUACCUUCCUAUAGAAUUGAGAAAUCUUCAUUGGCAUAAAUAUCCUUUGAAAAUAUUGCCAUCAGAUUUUGAAUUGGAGAACCUGAUUGAACGGAGCUUGCCUUGUAGUAAGGUUAAGCAAAUUUGGAAAAGAGAAAAGGUAUAAUGUAUUGCUAUUACCAAAGUAUCUAUUUUUCUUGCUUUAAGUAUUUAUAAUGAAUAACUUUGAAAUUGAAUGAUGCUCAUUUAGUAUAGUUAUGUAUCUUUGGUUAUAGGAAGCUGUCAAGUUAAAAUCUAUAGAUCUUCACCACCCCCUGUAUCUCAAUAGGAUCCCAAAAAUACUAAAUCUUAAAAAAAUAAAUCUUUCAAAAUGUGAAAGCAUGCUUACGUUACCCGCGUAUAUCCACAAGUUCAACUAGCUCAGUAUGUUGUGUUUCAUGGGAUGCAAAAUUCAUUUUGCUUCUCAUGAAAUGAUUGACUUGUCCGGAUGUAUUAGGGUUAAUAAACCAACUAAUCCCAUAAUUUGUUGAUGUAGGGUCCUAACAAAUUAUUGCAGUAGAUUGUAGAUUAAUACACUAUUCGAAAACGUAUUUGAUCCACACAGUGAAUGUUUGAGGGUGCAUUUCUCGCCAACUAGCCAUACCCUAAACGAGGAGCCGGUCUCCUUGUAAUUGAGCAGACAUGUGAAGUCUGGUAGCAAAUAUCCAAGAGUAGGAAUUCUCUGCUCAAUCACAAGGACAUCCUCUUUUGGACUAUAAUUCGAACAAGGUUCCUGCUAGGAGCCGAGAGCCUUUCCUGCUGAAGAUCGGGGUCGGCAAACCUAGUCUAUAAUGGUUAGCGAGACGUGUACUCCUAUUCAAGAAUCUAGGCACGAAACCCACUCAGUCGCAACUACGACAUUCAGGCAUCCACUUCCGUGAGCUGAGGAAGGUGAUGGACGUGGAUCGUGGGGCACCGGAUUCGUAGGAAUGCUAUAAAACGGUAAUCAACGAAGGUAAAUGGGUUAGACACUUUUACACUAGAACUUAAGAAAUAAGAGCAUUUACUAAAAAAAGGAGAGAAACACUCAUAGGUGUUCCACUGCCUAAGAGAUCAUGAGAGAGCCACGAGAUCAGUGGCCGAGUUUCCCAAAAAGUAAACCUAAAUUUCUGAUUUGAGCGUAGGAGGGUUUCUCCGGCGUGCUCUGACCAUUUUUUGUGUGCGCAGGAGUCUGCUAAGUCAUACAACGCAUAGCUCUGCUCGGUUAGAAGAGUUACGUGAAGUAUCCUAGGUUGGUCGUGAGUUCGGGAGUUGAGGAGAGAUCCUGGUCGCAGACGAGCAGGCACCAGAAUCUCGCAUCAAUAGUGAAGAUGAUUCAAUAUUAAGCAUGUCAUAUAAUCUGGAAGUGGAUAUUGGACCAAUUUGAUGAUAAUGAAUUUCUUUCAAUCUCAAUCUUUUUCUUUUUAGCAACAUGACUAGUCAUUGUGCAAAUUUAAACUCUGACAAUGAUUUCUCAAUCGGUUUCUAAAAUGAUGACCAUGCAUGUAUAUGUAUAUGCGUGUGUAUAUGUGUGUGUGUGUGUAGAGAGAGAGAGAGAGAGAUCACAUGUGUGUGAUUUCCUUUUGCCAAUAGGAUAUGCAGAGAGCUUGAUCUUACCCAAUAGCGAAACAAACUUCCUAAUAAGUGAAGGUAUAGUAUAAAUACUUAUACUUUCAUGUUAUUUUGUUCAUCAGUAGCUUGAUUAUUUUAUAUGCGUCUUCGAUUUUAAUUUUCUUUCCCUAUAAUCGCUAUUAUCUUUGAACUGGUCAUGAUUUGCCCGUAAGAUUUCUCAUGUUGUUUUGAGGUGCAAUGGAUUUUGAAUUUAGUGACAAGCAGUGGAAGCCAGAAGGCAAAUUAUGAAAAUGGAUAAAGAUCUAUAAUUAGCUGUUAUGGGAUGUCACAUAUCAUAUUGAUGGUAACAUUAUAUAUAUGUACAUAUAAUUAAUGGGGUUGGCUCACGAGCCCAUUAAUAAUCGUAUAUUAGUUUAUAUACUUCAAACAAUGUACUAUGAAGCAAUUUCACAAAUACUUGUUAGCUUAUGUUGAGUUUUAUUGAAUCAGUAGUUCACAGUUCAAUAAAAUGCAGGUUUGCUAUUUGAAGUACAUGGUUAUGGUGCGUACAUUCUUCAUAAGGCUAACUACUAAUUGAUCAUUGAAACUUGAAAAAUGUGACAGAGAGAUGUAGAUAAUAGCCGCAAAACACUGAGAUUGAAAAUCAAGGCUACUAAAUUCUAUUAAAAGCCCUUAAAAUAGACAGCAAUCACCCUGAAAUGUAUAUACUGAAACUAAGAAAUAUUAAUCGCAAAGUUAUGCAUUAAUAGAACUAUUGACUACUUAUCUUUAGCAUAAGGUAUAUUUUUAACUAUAGCUUUCUGCUUUGUUCUAAGAACUAGGCAAAAGUGGUGUAUCUUCAAUCCAAUCAAUAUAUAUACCACUUAUCUUCCUCUUCACUUCUGUCUAUUUUGAUUUGCACUUCAUAUCCUGCACUUGCUGCUUAGAAAUAGUCUUAUUCUGGACAUUGAAAGUAGAAAAAGUGCUUGAAACAAUCAUUGGCAUAGCCCGAGAUUCCAUUGAAUCGUGGACUCCAAGCUUUCAUAGUUCUAUAAAGAAAAUGACAAAACUUCAUACAACUGGCAUUCUGCUUUUAACAUUUGCACAAUCUGAGCGAGUUAGCAAGCCCAUUGUUGCGUUCCCAUUGAAUAGACCUACUUCUGUUAUCCACAGAAGAUCCACCACUCAAAAUGUUUAUCACCAGGCUAUUCUUAAACUGAGCCUAAACUGAGUAGAAACUUCCGCACAUCUCUCAGCAUUCUACAAAGUUGCAUUUCACUAAGCAAUCUAUCCUCUCCAUUCCUAGCAAAGUGACAUUGAUUCCCGUAUUUGUAAUCGCCUAACUUGGGUUUUGGGCAUAGCGUGGUCUUAAAAUUACCACCCAAUACUUUGUUCAGUGCCACUGGCAUCCACAAGCUCUAGCCCAGUUAGCUGAAUCAUAUUCAAUGGGACAGUAAGGCAGCAUUUCACUAACAUAUUCAAUUUGACUACUUAUAUUGACGCAAAUAUUAGAAUUUGAAAUCACUUCUUUUCUUGGAAUAUUAUAUUAAAAUGACCCCAAAUGAAAGUUCUUGAAUGGAAAUUAUUUUUAUUUAAUUUUCGAACAGGUUCAAGAGAACCCAGAGAACACAAAAUUUACACAGUAAUAUGAUUAAGAGCUAAGAACGUACAUAUAGUAAAUGUCUAUCAAAAAACACCCAAGGGUUUCUUUAAAAUUAGAAACUAGUAAACAAAAAGAAAGAAUUAUUUUACUUUUUUAGCAACUUUGGGGUGAGUGAGUGAGUGAGUGAGAAAUUGAAACCCUAAAGUGAUGACAACAGUAAGAUUCAGUAUGAAGUGAAACCCCAAUUUGAAAUGUAGGCAUGAGUUGCUGAGUCAGUAGAUGAAGCUAUAAAUAGGCAUUCAGUUUCCUUCUUUUCGGUUUAAAUCACAUAUUCUAGUUAAAAUCAAAUAUAUAUUUAUAUGAAGCUUGUAAAUUUUUUUUUUUAAUACUGAUAUUUGAAUAUUAUCAAUAAAAAAAGGGUAAUGUUCAUGCUGCAUUAUUUUUGUAGCACACAAAAGGACAACACCGUUUAUGUUAUAAUACUAUCGCUUCUGUUAUGAUAAUAUUUUUUUUGUGGCCAAAUAUCAUUUUUUAAGUAAAAUGGUGGACAAAAUGCAAAUCAGUUUUUAAUCCUCAAUCUCUCCCAAAAUAUAAAUUCGUAGUUAACAAAACAAAAUUGUUGGAAAACCAUUAAGCUAGGUUUAAAACUAUAGCUGACAAAAAGUUAAUAACAAAAACAGAAUGUCCAUUUUAUAACUUUCUUAAAAAACUUUCCUUAACUUUUUUAAAAAGUUACCAACAAAAAGUUAUUUCCAAUUUUUAUUUUGUUAUAAUUUUUAUAACAAAAUUCGUAGUUAACUAAACUCUUCUUAUGCCCUUUCUUAAUUGCCAUACCCUAACCACGCUCAAUUUAGGCCAUCACAGUGACCGACAGCCUCCCUAUCUCCAUUUCAAGCUCCCUCUUCAACUGGCUUCUGCGAUCGUCCUACUCUUUCUCGGAUUCGGAGUCCGUAUUUGCUCGGCCGGUCCCACGCAGCUCCCUCUCACUCCAGUUGUGACCCAACAAGACCAAUUGCUUAAUCAAGGCACAGAACAAGAAGAGGAUGAGAAGUUGAAACAAUAAUUUGAGAAUUGGAAAUCGAAAAAGUACGCAUUGACCGUGCCUGUAAGGUUUGUUUCUCUUCAGAAUUCAGUGCCUCAAUCUUGGGUUAAGGAUUUUAUGCGAAGUCAAGGAAAGAGAUUGAAGUUUCAGAUGAAUUUGUGUGCUAGCAUUGAUGGGAUCUUUAACAAUUUAUCUGUGCCCUUUAACAAAGUUAAGGCUAAGUCAGCUUCUUAUAUGGCUGCUGAUUUGGUUAGUGUUGGUGAUUCGUGGCUUAGUUUUGCCAUUAAAAAGAGAUUGAUUGAGCCAAUAGCUGGAGCUGAAGACCAAGAUUGGUUCAAAUGCUUAAGUCACAGGUGGGGCACAACGGUGAUAGCCUACAAGAAAAGUAAAUUUCGAAAGCAUAAUUUGGCUCCGAUUGAGGUAAUAAUUUUCUUUAAACUCAUUUAGUUUUAUAUCAAACAAAAUCAAGACUGCCUUUCUCUUCAAUAUUUUUGAUGAUAAUAUCUUUAGAAGCAUCUCAUUGACGCGUAACAAUGGCAUCCCUGAAAGAGUCUAUAAACUCAAUGAUAUUAUCUUCUACAAAUGGUUCAUUAAACUUUGUCGUUGUACUCAAAUGUACACUCAGAUCAAUGAGAAGCUAUGCCACUGUAGCAUGUAGUGAUGUCACUUAAUAAGUGAGUUGCUAGGAUGUGAACUAGAAAAAUUAAAUAUUGUCUCCUUGGGUAUGCUAGCUCGUAAGUCAGGGUUAAUAUCAGAGCUUAAGAUACUAUAACCGUGAGAACCUAUUGACUGCCAAUUAAAAUAUCCAUUAAAAUGUCUAGGGAGUUAUGAAGGUGGGGGUAACUUCCAAUUUCUAAGGCCACAGAGUAGACAUCAUCCAGGAUCCUAGUACAGUGCAGUUAACCUCCUGCUUGAUGCAAUUAAUAAAUUUGGUCAAUGCCACUGAAACAUGCUAACUGACGUCGCAAUGCGACAUGAGCACUUCAAAAUGGGAGAGACAGUCAGUAGCACUAAAUUUUUCUUGCCUAAGAUUGAGCAAUUGGUCUAACUACUAAUCCCUAUUGUAGGUUGAUCAUUAUUUUUUCAGUUAUGUUCAGUUUGACCCAAAAAGUUGCAGAAUCUUGAGCUGAAUACUGAACAUUGUCAAUGUCGUUUAGCGUAGCCAACUAACUUGAGUUUGGUAAAACAAACACACAGUGUGUCUCAUGUCUCACAAUUCAAAUUAUCAUCUGUAAUGACGGAGAAUUUUUCCAAUGUAUGAAGUAUGCUUUGAUACGUGGGUUACCUUGGAGAAGAUAUCUCAAAAUAAAGAAUAUGGGGAGAAAACAGUUCAGUAGUUUAUUAUUCUGUAGUCAAGUUUUGUCUCGAAAAUGGUCAAAAUUUAAAUGAAUAAGGACAGGGGAUCUUCAUUCUUUUUUCCCUUUUUUAUACCAAGAUAUCUCUCAACCUUUAUAUAAUCCCCACUGGAUAUCUGCUUCUAAUAAUUAAAAUAAAAAUUUCACCGCUCUAACAAUAAAAAGUAACAUCUUUAGUCAAAUAAUUUACAGUUCCUCAUCAUCUUAGUGUGAGACUAUCAGUACAUUCCAAAAACAUAAUAAAACUGGUUUGAUCCUGUUUAUUGAUGUUUAAAUGUUGUUCAUUGUGACAUGUAGAAAUGAUGAGGCAAAGUUUAUUUGGGCAUCAAUUAGUAAGAUCUUGUUUGAAGUUGUUUUCUGAAAUGAACUGCCAAAUGGUAGUUUUUUGGGGGCAUUUGAUGGCUCUUUUUUUUUCCUCGUUUUCAACAUGUGCCUGCUUGGAACAGGAAGGAUUAGGCUGCAGAGUUGUUAUUUAUUUUGAGAUGCUCUGGUCAUUGCACAAUUUGUUCACACUGGAAAUUAGAAUGAGAAAUUUGUUGAUGCUGUUUUGAGAGAUCUGCAUUCUAUGCACAAUAACAUGAUUAAUGAAAAUGUAUUGUAGGACUGGAAAGAUCUGUGGCAGCCUGAGCUCGCAGGAAGAAUUUCAAUGGUUAAUUCUCCCCGAGAGGUUAUUGGUUCAGUUUUGAAGUAUAGGGGAGCAUCAUACAAUUCAAACAAUAUUGAUUCGCAAGUUGCUGGUGGGAAGAUUGCUGUUCAGCAGAAUCUGGCAUUACUGGCGAACCAGGUACUCUUACAGAAAUGAUAUCUGGUCAUUGCAUGUUAUUGCCUGACAACUGAUUUUGUUUGUAAAAGUCUGCUUCUUCAUACAUAUGAAUGCAUAUGUUAGUGUUUUCUUCUCCUUUUCAUACAUAUAAAUGCAUAUGUUAGUGUUGUCUUUUCCUUUUCAUACAUAUUAAUACAUAUGUUGGUGUUCUCUCCUGAGAUGGAUGCAAUAAAGGCUUUUGCUCCUAAAUUUAGCUGAAGAAAUGGCAAGGGAUGUGAGAUUCUGUCUCAUUAAAUUAACAAAAACCCAAAGCAAUGAAAAUCCAUAAUAAUGUGGUGUGGGUAAAUUGGCUCCAUUUGGUUCGUUUCCUUAAUGUGAAUGCGCGAGCAAUAGAGACUAACAAAAUGAAGUGACAACAAGAAGUCAGUGUCCUUUGAUGGAUGCAUUUUUAGGCAGAAAUAUGUUUGUAAUUGACCAAAAUUGUCUGGCAUGCCAAUUUCAAAAAAAUUAAAUUAUGUGGUUAUUAGCUGUAAUGAAGGAGGAUAGUAGGUGCAAUCAGGUGGAUCCAGGAAAGUUCAACAAAGUUUUGGUAUGGCGUAGUGAAAUUGGUUUGUGCAACUCAGGAGUCUUUCAGGUGAACGAUGAUAGGUUUUGAUUUAUGAAUAUUAUAAAUCUACUGUGCAUAGUAUUCUAGUAGAAUCAUCUAUAAGUUCUAGUUAUUGAAAUUGUAUACUUUGCCCGGUUUGAGUUAAGGGCACAUGUAAUAUGAAAGAUAGUUGUCGCAUCUUUUAGGUUACCUAACAUUUGAUCAAUCCUAUUAUGGGGGCUUCAAGAUGUCUAACAAUAUGUAGAAUGCCCAUGCGCCUCCCCAUUGUUUAUCUUCUACAAUAAUUUGUUUUAGAUGCUAAUAUCUUUGUCGAUACCGGUAACAAUAUUACAAUAUCUGCGUUUAUUGGGUUUUAUAUAGGUUCGACUGUUUGACUGUACACACUAUCUGAAGGCAUUUGCAAUUGGAGAUGUAUGGGUUGCUGUUGGGUGGAUUAGUGAUGUUCUUCCUGCUGUCAAACAUAUGUCUAAUGUUGCUGUGUUGUUCCCAAGUCUGGUGCUAGCUGCCUGCCAUUCUACUUCGAUAUUCACAUUGUUAUCUCCUUCAUAUUAGCAAUCAGUAAACACGUAAUGUGGCUAAUAAGUUUGUAUUCUCUUUAUAGGCAAUCCCUGCUGCCUCAAGACUUGAAACACAACAAAUUGGAGGGCGAGUCAGAGGUCCAUCUCCAUUAAUCCAUCAAUGGAUAGAAUUCUGCUUGCAAACAGCGAGAGCAUUGCCUUGCAAGCAAGAGGUUAUCCCGGGUGCAUCUCCCUCUGCCCUUGAAAGUACUCUGGUUAAGUUGCCUGAAGAACUUCUGGAGGGUAAACCAAGUCUGGAUACUAACUUAAUUGCUGGAGUACUCCCGGCUGAAAUUCUGGCCAGAUGUGAGUUUUUGGAGCCAUUAUCUGAAGCUACUUUGUCAGAUUAUGAGUGGCUGGUUGUUAAUCUGCAAAAACCUGCUCCUGUCUUGAUGAAAAGGGUGCAACAUUACUUGUCAUCAUUAAUCUAAAGCUUUCUAGCAAGAGCUACAUUGAAAAGUUAAUGGCGCUGCAUGCCAGUCAUUAUAAUGCUGUCAGGGCAAUUGGGUCAGGGCAAUUAGGUCUGAGCAUAACUUCAUUAGGAAAAGAGGCUUCAGCUACGUUAAAUAUUGCAGGAUGUACUGAGAUGGCUGAAGUUCUUAAGGUUUUAUGAGAAACGAAAGAUGAGUGUUUGUUUGAACAAAGUUGUUGCCAAUCUUGCAGAGUUUGGAAAGAAAGAUCACGGAGCGAAUGCCACCGAUUUCUUCAUCAUUUUAGCCUCCAUAGUUGAAGUUUCCUCAUUUGAAGCUGUUUAUGCAUACGAUUUUUCCCUGCUCUAGUACAGGAAAUUGAAGAAUUAACCAGAUGUGAUAUGCUGAAAGAGGGAAGUUUUCUUCCUUGAAUGUGGCCUUUGUGAUUUGUCUUGAAGGAAUAGGAUGAUCACUGGCAAGAACCCUAUCAAGGUAGAUUUUAUGGUGUUAACAUAUUAUUAAGCAUUUUGUUACAUUAGCAAUGAUGCUUUCAUAGCAUGAAAGUGUUUAAAUUUAACUGAUUGAUCUUGAUUGAUCAAUUAUGAGUUUUAAUCGAGUAAAAACUAAAUACAAUAAUCGUCAACAAAUAUUGAAAUUGGGUAAAUAUGAUCUUGAUAUUGAAGAAUUUGAAAUCACAACCCACACAGGAAAUCACCCUUCGCGUGGGGAUGGAGAUGUUUACUGCAGCGAUAUUGAAUAUGUCCACUGCUCUUUGGGUUAUGGUGCGACUUGCCCUGAAACAAUGGAAAAGAUUAACAUACCCUCCAAUGAAUGAAAACGGGUGGACUAAUUCUGAUUACCUAAUUGACUCAGGAUCGGCUGGCAAUAAUAACAGUUUAUUAACAAUGCACAGUCCGAGUACCUUUCCAGUAACAGUUUAUUAACAAUGCACAGUCCGAGUACCUUUCCAGGAUCAGAUACGACGUGGUCUAAUGUUGAUUUCAGAAAUAAAAUACAUUCUGAGAGAUGCUGGUCUACUAUUGCAAGCCCCCAGAUUUAAGAAUCUUUUGAUGAUAAUUUAAUUGAUAUGGACAGUUUCCAUAUCACUUUUAAAUCAUCUUAUGUAAUUGUGAUGUUAGGAAGCAUUAGUGACCUAUAUGUGAAUUAUUAUUAGCGACAUUAGUGGUUUUAUCUUGUUAAAAUAUGGAUGACUUCUAGUUAUUAUUUUAUUGUAGACAAUCUUAUUCAAUUAACAUAUAGUUUAAAACCAUUAUGUAAAUUAAUCUAUUAAUUUUCAUGAUAUUUAAUUGAGUUAAAACUAAGUGCAAUCAAUAAAUCUCUUUUGCUUUAAAAAACUGCUACCUUUUGAGUUUAGUGCUUAAUAUUUAUUGAACUCUGAUGCAGGGUAUUUGAAAUCAAACUCGUAAUACAGAUUAUCUAAUUGCGAGUUGCUGUCCAUAGCUGCUAAUUUGUAGUGAUUAUCUAAUUGAUUGAGGUGACAAUAAUUCUUUUAUUUCAAUAGCACAAUGUGGAAUUCAAUAAUUAAAUUCAUGAUAUUUAACUGAGUUAAAACUAAGUGCAUUCAAUAAAUCUCUCUUCCUUUAAAAAACUGUUGCGCUUUAAUUUUAGUGCUUAAUACUUACUAAACUCCGAUACAGGGAAUUUGAAUUCAAACUCGUAACUACAGAUUAUCUAAUUGCAAGUUUCUGUCCAUAGCUGCUGAUUUGUAGUGAUUAUCUAAUUGACAUAGGCCACGACAACUUUUUUUUUUUUUAAUUUUCAAUAGCACAACGUGGAAUUCAAUAAUUAAAUUCUCCUUUUUAAUUUGUUUCAAGUUAAAUUAUUAAUUACUUAAACUCUGUUUUAAGUCUUUAAUUUUAUGUGUUUAUGCAGAAUUGGAUUCUUUAGCGUGUUGGACACGACCAACAAUGAAAUUGACAGUAAACAAACAUUACAACGCGUUGAGUGUCGACUCCGGUAGCUGCCCUACAAGUCUACAACUUUACAAAAAAUAAUUGAGUACACACAUUUGAUUCUCGGGACCCAAAUUUCUAGCCCCGUUGACUCCACCGACAAAAGUUUUGGAAAAUUAAAAAAAAAAUUCAUAGAAUUCCACCAAAUGCAAAACGCGUGGAAUUUAAUUUUCGGCCGUGUGGACCAAAACAUAAUUUAAUAAAAAAAAAGAUAAAAUUUCUAAAAUGUGUGGAAGGUGAUCCAUAUUUUAUUGAAACAACUUAAAUUUAUUAAGGAUUUAAAAUAUUUGGUCAUAAAUUACGCUCAUGUUAAUUUUUCCGCUAUUGACUAUCAUAUUCUAGACACAAUGAAAUUGACAGUAAAGAAACAUUACAACGUGUCGACUCUGGUAGCUGACCUACAAGUCUACAACUUCACAAAUAAUAAUUGAGUAAGCACCUUUGAUUCUCGGGACCCUUCAAUGAAUUGCUAGCCCCGUUGACUCCACCGACAAAAGUUUUGUAAAAUAAAAAUAAUAUAUAGAAUUCCACCAAAUGCAAAACGCGUGGAAUUUAAUUUUCGGCCGUGUGGACCAAAACAUAAUUUAAUGAAAAAAGAAAAAAAAUGAUAAGAUUUCUAAAAUGUGUGGAAUGUGAUUCAUAUUUUACUGAAACGAUUUGUUAAAUUUUUCAAAGAUUUAGAAUAUUUGGUCAUAAAUUAGGCGCAUGUUAAAUUAGGAGCAUGUUAAUUUUUCCACCAUUGACUAUCAUAUUCUAAACUUAAUGAUACAUUUCUUUAUGAAGAGUACUUAGUCUCUCUUCUUCUCUUAUAAAAAUUAUAUUAAUUGAUUUCUUAUUAUAAUAAAUAGUCUUUAAGAACGUAUAGAUUUAUUGUUUUCGUGACCAAAUUAUGCCUGCCUAAGUUUGUGACUAUUAACAAAAUUAAUAUUUAAUGUUUAUGUUAAAAGAUAUAAGAUUUUAUGCAUUCAUUAAUUGUUAUUAGCUAAAGGAUUAAUUAUUUUUUCAACCCAAUCUGUUGAUGCAUCUGCAAGAGUUUUUUCUUUUAUUGACCAUAAUUAUAUUCCGGGUACAAUAAAUUGUCUUUGGUGAUUGGAAAAUAUGACUUCUUACUUCAAGUUUAAUAUGUCUCUCUCCAUAAGCUUACUGGAAAUAUAUCCUCAUCUACUGUCAUUUAUCUAAUAUCAAUUGAAGAUCUCACUUUUUCAAACUAUCACUUCCAAGUCGCAUUGUCACUUGGCCAUUCUUGGACCAUUCAAAACCAAUCAAGUGUUGAAAUAAUCAAAUAUAUGCAAAAUUAGAGUCACGAUUUUUGCUCCCUCAAAUUCUAAUUAUACAACUUCUAUAUAUCUCAUUGUCAGGUCACGAACUUGUUGGCACAUUUUCCAAAUUCCUAUUCCAACUUAAGUGGAAAGUUUCCAAGUUCAUUGCUAGAAAACAACACAAAAACUAGACACACUUAGUUUGUCUAAUAAUUCUCUUUCGGUAAAAUUAAUUAAUUUCAGGGGAAUAUUCUGCCAACCUCUGUAAUUUCAGAGUGAUCAUUAAUUAAUUAAACGAUACAAAUAUCUAAAGUAAUUAGAUGUUUGCUGACAAUACAAGUUCAUGACUUGAAAUUUGAUCUCUAUCGAUUGGUUCACAAAUAGACGUACGUGUGCCUUUGUGGCGAUAAUCGAACAAGUUCCCAAGAUUAUUAUUUUUUCCAAAAACUUUUUUACAACAAAUUCAUCUCGCCAAAAAUUAUAUUUUGCUAACUAACAAUAAUUGAGCACUUGACCGCAUUGACUCCACGUCUCCACCUCUUUCUAAAUUCUAAGUAAAAACAUGGAGAUGUAACCUCCACAAAAUGCCAAACGGGUGGAAUUUAAUUUUUUUGCCUUGUGGAUCAAAAUACAAAUGAAAGAAACAGGAGAAAAAAAAGGCCCAAAGACUUCUAAAAGAUGAAGAAGUCUUUGGGCCUUUUUAUAAUGGUGAAUUUUUUAAAAGAAAAAAAAUAACAACAUUUUUAUGGUUUGUUUUGAUAAUCAUAUUUACAUAUACUCUCUAAUUUUCAAAAUGGACACAUAAAUUUUUUUUUUUUACAAAUAUAUAUUAUUCAUAUUUUUUUAUUAUCAUAUUUUUAUUUAGAGCAAAUUUUUAGGUUGAAAUAUAAUAAAAAGGUAUAAUUGUUCUCUUAUUAAACACACAUACUUUUAUUAGUUUUAUUAGUUUCUAUCCAUUUGUCAUCUCAAUUAUUCUUUAAUGCUAGCUCAAAACACGUUGCUGGUGCAAAUUAUAGCAAAAUGACAAAUAUGGAAAAAAAGGGAAGAAAAUUAAUGCAUGAAAGACUUGGAGAAAACAACAAAAUAAGCCAACUAUGAGUUAGUUGGGUGUAUAAAUUGUUAGAUGUGUUAUAUACAAAUAGCGUAGAGCCCUCUAGUUGGUUCCAAAGACAGAAAGAGCGUGUGUGUUUUUUCACAGUUAGAGAUAUAGUUAGAAUGGGUGGUUCAAAAUCAAAAAUGAUGAUAAUGUUUAUUAUGUUAUUAAUAAUAUUUAAAAGUGGGUGGAGUGAGGGAUGUUUGGAUCACGAGAGAUUUGCUUUUUUGAGACUCAAACAUUUCUUCAAUGAUCCUCUUAAUUCUCUUUACGACUGGGUAGAUGGUGAGGGAGCUACUGAUUGUUGUCAGUGGGAAACGGUUGAGUGCAGCAACACCACAAGUCGAGUGAUAGCGCUAGACCUUUCUUACAGGUAUGGGGGAGAGUACAGUUGGUAUCUGAAUGCUUCUUUGUUUACUCCCUUCCAACAACUUGAGUCACUUGAUUUAACUCGCAACAACAUAGCCGGUUGUGUUGAGAAUGAAGGUGCUUCGUUUAAUUUAAUUAAUUUACUUCUUCUCUCCUAAUUUAAGUGGAAUAUCAAGACUGAGCAACUAUAUGCAUAUUCAUUCAGUUGACAAUUUUGACAUAUUUUUUUAAGUGAUUAAUUAAUUUUGAAAUACACUAGUAUCUAUGAUCUUUUUUUUUUAUUAUUUGGCUUGCAGGUCUAGAGAGGCUAUCAAGAUUGAACAACUUGAAGAUGCUUAAUUUAAGUGGAAACUCAUUCAAUAAUAGCAUUUUAUCAUCUCUAACUCAUCUUUCAUCAUUAAGAUCAUUAAAUUUAUUGUGGAAUAGAUUGGAAGGAAGUAUUGACGUUAAAGGUACAUAAUUAAAACUUCAAGCUCUUUCAUUAACUUGCUAAAAUAAGAUUCAAGGCUUUGAAUUCAAUUUUUUUAUGAUUAAUAUUAAAAAAACAGUUUUAAGCAAUUUAUAAAAACAAGUUUUAAUGUUUCUUGUAAUUUCAUCUUGUACUUUCAUAUGUCUUGAAUUUACAAUUAACAAAAAGACUCUAAUAGCGAACCAAACACCUCCACAACUUCUUAUUAUUUGUGGUGAGGUUUGAAACAUUCAACUCAAUUUGUACUUAUUACAAAAUUUGAUUCUUUGAGAGAUUUAGAGGAACUAGACAGUGGCGGGAUCAAGAUUGACAAAUUUGUGGUCUCAUAAGGUACUACAAUUUACCAUAAAAAAAAUUUGCUACCUUUUACAAUUUAGUUUAGAUUCUUUGCCCUUUGGUUUAUUAUUUUUACAGGUUUUGAAAAAAGUUGAAAUCCUCCUCGGUUUAAGUGGUAUCAAACUCAAUCGUAGCAUCUUAUCUUCUCUGACUGUCUUUUCUUCGUUAAGAGAAUUACAUCUACGUGAUACGGGAUUCAAAGGAACAUUCGAUGUUCGAGGUAAGCCUAAGUCUUGCUUUCUCAUUUUAUAUAUGCCAACUAGAUUUGUGUAUCAUCGACAUAAUUUAAUAUUUAAUUUGAUAAGUUUGAAUGAAUUACAUGCUAAUUUAAACACACUUUUAUUUACUUUGUCAAUUAAUUAAUUAAUUAAUUAAUACUAUUUGGCUUGGUUUGGACGAAAUUCUCAUGAUGUUUUAAUUUCUUUAAAUUAAUUAAUUAAUUAACUCUGUUUUUAAGUCUUAAGUCUGGGCGUGUUUGCAGAAUUUGAUUCCUUUAACGACUUAGAAGUGUUGGAUAUGAGAUACAAUGAAAUCGACAAUCUUGUGGUUCCUCAAGGUAAACAAUUAAAAGGUACAGAUGUGGCCAAAUUUAUAAAUAAAUUGUUAAUUAAUUAAUUUUUUCGUAUUAUUAAUAAAGCUAAAUUCGUUGCUCCUUCCUUCUAAUUCUAAACAGAGUUGCACAAUUUCACCAACUUGGAAUAUUUGACAUUGGAAUCUUCCUCUCUCCAUAUAAGCCUUCUGCAAAGCAUUGCAUCAAUAUUCCCUUCGUUAAAAAAUCUGUCGAUGUCUUUUUGUGAAGUCAAUGGUGUCGUACGCGGUCAAGGUAAAAGAAAAGCGUUGAUUGUGAACUCACUCAAUGGUGUCCUACGUGUUCAACAUUUUUAUUUAUUUUAUUGUUUAAUGUUUCUGCUAGGUUUUCCUCAUUUCAAGAGUUUGGAACAUUUUGACAUGAGGUUCGCGCGCAUUGCGCUCAACACCAGCUUUCUUCAAAUCAUCGGUGAAUCGACGCCAUCUCUUAAGUACUUAUCACUGUCAGAUUUUACUCUCAGCACUAACAGCAGCAGGAUUCUUGAUCGAGGUUAAUCAGAUGCUCCCACCCUCCCUUCUUAAUCUAUAAUAUUAAUUUUCAAUUAAAUAUUUAAUUACACAAAUGAAUUAUAAAAGAACAAUACGCAUUCAUUAAUUUUUAUAUUGUAUUAAUAAUUGAUGAAUUUAAUAAAUUUUCAGGCCUCUGUUCAUUGGUGCAUCUGCAAGAGUUGUACAUUGAUAAUAAUGAUUUAAGAGGUAGCUUGCCUUGGUGCUUGGCAAAUAUGACAUCCCUCCGAAUAUUAGAUGUUUCUUCCAAUCAACUUACUGGAAGCAUCUCCUCAUCUCCCCUCGUUCAUUUGACAUCCAUUGAAGAGCUGAGGCUUUCAGACAAUCACUUUCGGAUCCCAAUUUCACUUGAACCACUUUUCAAUCACUCAAGACUCAAGAUUUUCUAUGCUUACAACAACGAAAUAAAUGCAGAAAUAACUGAGUCACAUUCUUUGACCGCCCCAAACUUCCAAUUACAAUCUCUCUCAUUGACUUCCGGUUAUGGAGAUGGUGUCACAUUCCCCAAAUUCCUUUACCAUCAACAUGACCUGGAGGAUGUUCGUCUCUCAAACAUAAAGAUGAAUGGAGAAUUUCCAAAUUGGUUGUUGGAAAACAACACAAACUUAGAAUAUAUUUUUUUGGUUAAUGAUUCUCUUGCAGGACCUUUCCGGUUGCCAAUUCAUUCACACAAGCGGUUAAGACUGUUGGAUAUAUCCAACAACAACAUCAGAGGCCACAUUCCAGUAGAAAUUGGAGAUGUUUUACCGGGUUUAUUUUCUUUAAACAUUGCCAUGAAUGCUUUAGACGGUUGCAUUCCCUCUUCAUUUGGUAAUAUGAAAUUCCUCCAAUUUCUGGACUUAUCCAACAACCAAUUGACUGGUGAAAUCCCUAAGCACUUGGCCGUGGGUUGCGUCAACUUAGAGUCUCUUGCGUUGUCAAACAACAGCUUAGAAGGUCAUAUGUUCUCCAGAAACUUCAACCUGACAAACUUGAAAUGGUUACAAUUGGAAAGCAAUCACUUCGUAGGAGAGAUCCCACAAAGUUUGUCUAAAUGCUCCUCACUAGAAGGAUUGUAUCUUAACAAUAAUAGUCUUUCGGGUAAGAUUCCACGAUGGUUGGGUAAUCUCACAUGGUUACAAUAUAUUAUAAUGCCCAAUAAUCAUCUUGAAGGUCCUAUUCCAGUGGAGUUUUGUCAGCUUGAAUCGCUUCAGAUUUUGGACAUUUCAGACAACAACAUAUCUGGAAGUUUACCAUCUUGUUUCCAUCCUCUCUCUAUCAAACAAGUUCAUCUUUCAAAAAAUAUGUUACACGGACAGCUAAAAAGAGGUACAUUCUUUAAUUGCUCUUCCCUUGUGACAUUAGAUCUUAGUUAUAACUGCUUGAAUGGCAGCAUUCCGGAUUGGGUUGAUGGGCUUUCUCGGUUAAGCCACCUUAUCUUGGCUCACAAUAAUCUUGAAGGUGAAGUGCCAGUUCAAUUGUGC
rnacentral:lncRNA from 1 species